GCCAAUUAUGACAAGCCUCCGGUUUACCAACCACCGGUCUACAAGCCCCCUGUUGAGAAGCCACCUGUGUAUAAGCCACCGGUAGAAAAACCUCCAGUUUACAAACCACCGGUAGAGAAACCACCAGUGUACAAGCCACCAGUUGAGAAGCCCCCCGUCUACAAACCUCCUGUAGAGAAGCCUCCUGUUUACAAGCCACCAGUAGAGAAACCACCAGUGUACAAGCCACCAGUUGAAAAGCCUCCGGUCUACAAACCACCUGUAGAGAAGCCACCUGUUUACAAGCCACCUGUAGAGAAACCACCAGUGUACAAGCCACCAGUUGAGAAGCCUCCGGUCUACAAACCACCUGUAGAGAAGCCACCUGUUUAUAAGCCACCUGUAGAGAAACCACCAGUGUACAAGCCACCAGUUGAGAAGCCCCCGGUCUACAAACCCCCUGUAGAGAAGCCUCCUGUCUACAAGCCACCAGUAGAGAAACCGCCAGUGUACAAGCCACCAGUUGAGAAACCCCCGGUCUACAAACCCCCUGUUGAGAAGCCUCCUAUCUACAAGCCACCAGUAGAGAAACCACCAGUGUACAAGCCACCUGUUGAGAAGCCUCCAGUUUAUAAGCCACCAGUUGAGAAGCCACCUGUGUACAAGCCCCCAGUCGAGAAACCCCCGGUCUACAAACCUCCUGUAGAGAAGCCUCCAGUUUACAAGCCACCGGUGUACAAACCUCCAGUUUACAAGCCACCAGUAGAGAAGCCACCUGUGUACAAGCCUCCGGUCUACAAACCCCCAGUUGAGAAACCUCCAGUUUACAAGCCACCGGUUUACAAGCCUCCAGUCGAGAAGCCACCAGUUUACGGACCACCUCACCACCCAUAGUACCCUCCCGUAGUUGGCACUACUCGUUUUUAAAGCAUGCUUUUAAGUAAAUAAGAGAUAUAUAAACUUUCCAAAGCAAGGAUCAUAUAUUCUUGGAAAUCUUCAAUUCAAUCUUAUGUUUACAAAUGCUAUUGCCAAGACAAGAGUGUGAAAGAAAAUGGUGCCAUUUGUACUUCAAAUUAUGAAUAAGAACGUUAUGAUUUAGUACUUCUUAUUUUGUGUUUGUUGACUAAAUUUGACAGAGUAUACUUUACUUGUUCCCUAUCAUACCAGUAAGGUGCAUGAAAGUUCAGUCUUGAACGGUGGAAAUAAAUAAUAAUUAAUUAAUGUUUGAAUCUCGAAUUUACUAAAUUAACGAACUUGUAAUUUCAUUGGAAUAUACUUGACUCAGUGGUAGCUUUAGUUUCAACUUGGAAAAUGUCCGUGAUAUGACAAUUUUUCCAAAACAAGUUUAGGUUAAGAUUUUUAUUUUUUAUUUUUGACAUAAUAUACGUUAAGAUUCUUGUGUACUAAUAGAAACUGAAAAAUCAUUUUGGUGCUUAAAGUUUAAUGAGUUGGACAAAUUAUUCACUCAAAUAUGGAAAUGAUAAUGUAGUCUCUUCAAUUAUAGAAUGCCAUUUAAUUUAGUUACCUUUUCAAAAUUAGCAUCACAAUUCGCAAGGUUUUAUAUUUGUGUUGAUGCAUCAGUUAAGAUAAGGAUCACGAAAAUUAGGUUUUUGACUUGGUUUUGAUUAGGGGUGUUUGCGGUGCGUUUUGGUUCGGUUUUGAGCAUAAAAGUCAUCUAAACCUCAAGAUAAAAAAGCAUGCGGUUUGGUUUGAUUCAGUUGAUUUUUAUAUAGUCAUCCAAACAAAACCAAACCAAACCAAUGCGGUUUGGAUUGGUUCGGUUUGUACGGUUUAUCGCGAGAUGAAAAAAUAUUACAUUAACUCUAAUAUUGCCAACUUGUUACAAAAUAAACAUAGGACAUUUUAUUUUGUUGUUUAUAUGAUAAAAUAUUAGGUAAAACUUAUAUCAAAAUAGGUAAAAUUAAGAAGAAACAUAAGCAUGAAACAAAUUAUUGAGAAGUAAAAGAAACAAAUUCAUCACUGAAAAUGAAUUGAAAGAGAUGGAAAGGAAUUAGAAUCGAACCAGAUGGUGCAACAAUGGAAAAAUCUAAUCAAAUGAGAUUAUUCUUGAGCUAUGUAAUUGGGCUAGUACAUGUUUAAGUAAUAUUCAUUAUUCUUGCGGUUUGGUUUGGUACUUGAGAUGCAAACCGCAAACCAAACCGAACCGCGCGGUUCAGUGUAAAAGUCAUCCGAGUUCAUUCGAACCAAGUGCAGUUUUUUGCGGUUUCGGUUUGGAUUGGUUUGGUUUGCGGUUUUUCUAUUGGGUUCGUUCGGUUUUGAACACCCCUAGUUUUGAUCGAUGUUUCCUGAAGAUAUGUUUUGGUAAUUGAACUAAAUAAACUGUCUUACAUUCUUCAAUUAAUGAGAUUAAAUUUCCUUUUUACAAAUAUCAAUGAUUAAUGUCAAGGACUAAAAUGAUGAUUAGUGUCGCGCCAUUUUUCGGAGGUCAAGGCCAUUUGAUUAGCUUUUGACUCACUUUUUAUCUCACGACUGAACAAAAAAUUUUUUAAAGGGGAAAAAGUUUCAAACCACCCAUUUUGAAAAGAUUUAGGGUUCAUGGGUUGGUUAUAUUUAGGGAAGGUAUUAGCACCCUAAAUAUUCGUAGUACUCUAUGAGUACCUCUUGAUUUUAUUUAACUUUUUGUGCUUAAACUUGCUUGCUUUUGAAGAGAUGAAAAUAGAAUUGAAAGAUGAGUUGAAACGAAAAAGAAAAUUGAUUUUAAUUGAAAAGAAAAAAGAAAAUUGUUUUUUAGUUGAUUUGGAAGGACAAGGUCCUCUGCCUACGUACCCGUGAGGGAUCAAAACCUCGUAGUUCGGGGUAGAAAUUGACGUUUGAUUGGUUUUAUAUUUUUUAUUAGUUUUUGAAAAAAGGUUUGAAAUAAAAAGCCAAGUGGCAAAUGAGAAUUGAUUUGUGUUUUUUGGAUUGAAGGAAAUAGACUUGAAGUAGAAUUAAAAUUGAUUUGAGAUUUGAUUAAGAAAGAAAAUAGAAAUAGCGAUCACUUCAUUGAAAGUCAAGGUUUGUUAUAAAAAUAUUUUUUUGUGAUUUUUUGAUAUUUGGAUGUUUUUGCCGUUUUUGAAUAAUGAAUGAAAAUUAAACUAACAGAGCAAUGAAAAUAAAAGUGCGUGGGCGUGAAGAAAAGAUUUUGGUUUAUGUUAGUUCGACAAUAUAAAUAGUAUUUAAUAUAUGUUGUGUUCACUUUGGAUAUUAUCGGACAAAAUUUUGACAAUAAUAAAAAUAAUAAUAGUAAAAUAGAAUAAAAAAUAGAAAGACUAAAGUGAAUCAAAAUGAGAUAAAAAGAUAAAUAUUUAAAACGGAUUUAAAGUUAAUAAAAGAUGGAAACUAAAAUUAAAUGAAAUUUGAAAAUUGAGAGAAGAGGGUCCGACUUGGAACCAAAUAUGAGGUAUUUUAAAAUACCUUCCUAUCGAAAUUUUGUUCGAAAGGCUGAGACCGGUCGGAGUUAAAUGACACGUGUCAGUGCUGCCUUAGGUCAAAAAUUGGGGUAUGACAAUUAGCUCAAUAAUUAAUUAUUGUGAUUUCUUCAUUUUAUAUUUAUAUUUAAGAAUAAAAAAAAAAAAAUGACGAUAUCAACUUUGACACAUUACAUAUUCAAUCAAUGUUGACUUGACCAUCAAUGCUACAUAUCCGGAUGUAAGAGUAGUUCGACGAGUUUAUUUUUGUCACUUUUGUUGAUAUUUUGUUGGUUUAUGCUAUUAACUUGCAUCUAGUAAACUUGUUCAUAGCUUCAUCAUUUUCAGUUUUAGUGACAUGAUAUUUGUGUUGUAUUCAAUGUGAUUUACCGCGCGAUAUGAAUAAUAUAUAUUUUUAGUCAAAAUUAAUCAUGUCGGACCUGAGAUCUUUGGUUUGAUGGCGUUGAACGACCUUUGAGUAAGACAAUGUUAAACCAAAAUGAGUUUUAUACAAUGCCUCUGAAGUUUUGAUAAUAACAAAGUAUAAAAAGAACAAUUGAAUAUGCCAAUGUUGUUCAAGUAUGCUCGACCAUAUAUUAAAAUUCAAAGUAUUAAAUCAAGUUUUGAUUCUGAAAGAACAAGAUUAUGAACAUAUACAAGAGCAUCUGCAACUUAUGAGAAGCUGGAAAUUUGGAUCAGACUCUGAAUAAGUAAGACUGUGAAAGUCGGGAGUGUAACACCCUGAACCCCACAUACUAUUUUUAAAAGUAAUAAUUCAACAUUUAAAUAAACAUAUCAAGAUGUUACUCUUCAUUUUCAACACAUAACAAGUCUCCAUCUUAAAAUAUCAACUCACAGCGGAAAUAAGUCUCAACAACACAAAUGUCAUACAUCAUAUCUCAGAAUAAGUACAUCAUCAAAAUAAACUCAAGGUUCCUCAAACAUAAUAUGAUAACAUAAAUAAAAUCCCAACAUCCUAAUCAGAGAACCACUAGACAAGACUCCAAAAUCAAAGCGGUAAAAGAUGAGUAGGCUGCAAGCCGUCCUCGGAAACUCAUGGUAACUUUGCGUCCUCAACCUGCAAGUCUCCACCACAAGGGCGUAGGCGACCAUUUGCCAAACGUAGGGUAAGAUAUAAAUUUAACAUAGAGGAAAUAUGAACACAUAUAUAGUAUUAGGAUCGCAACAUCAUAUACAAGUAUUCAUCUUAAGCAAUACCAUAUUAACAUGCAUUCUCAUUGAUUGGUAAAAUAUACACAACAAAUCUCAAAUCAUCAUCACAAGAAUAUAAAAAAGUAAACACAUCAUUGAUUAAUCAUCCAAUGGAAUACAUAGGAUUCACACAUUAUCACUUUCAUUAAAUCACACAUUUUCCAUAAAAUACACAUAGUCAUGUAUGCAUCUUUCACAUAGAUUCACAUAGUCAAGUACUCAUCUUCUACAUAGACUCUCAUGUACGAAAUGUUCCUACUCGACUUUAUAUGCAUGUGGUACUGUUUUCGAUAUCAGAGGUAUUUUCUGAGUGAUUUCACCGUCACUUGGACUGACCAUGAAUGCAUGAACAUCUCAUCAUGACUCGACAAUGCAUAAUUCAUAUAACUCGACAAUUUACAUCAACAACAUCAUCACAUCGUAUAUUAAUUCAUCGUCGCUAUAUCAUCAUCAUCAUCAUCAUCAUCAUCAUCAUCAUUUUCAAUGUCAUUAUAUCAUCAUCAUCAUCAUCAUAUCAACAUCUAUAUAUAGUUCAAAUCAUCAUGUCAAACCAUAUCAAUAUGUAUCCACCUCGUCUCGCAAUCACAUUCACAGUCAUCAUCAUUAUAUAUUCAUAAGACAUUAUUCUACAUCAUCAAGUAUACUUCGUUAAUCAUCUAACAAGUUCACAGUCAUUUCAUGAUUCAAUUAUAAUUAAAUCACAAGUUUAUUUCUAACCAUUUCAAUUGCUAAGUUUACUUCCAUCAUAAGCUAGGUUAAUUACUCUUACACAUCAAAAUUAUACUUCUAUUAAUCAAGUUUAGAGGUUUGUGACAUAUUCACAUGCAUUGGAUACCUUAAAAUACCAAAAAUAUGAGUUUCCCACUAUAGGGAGGGUUGCACGGUAGUGCCAUCCAGGUGCACAGUCGUGCUCAUCAUGCAGGUAGGGAAAAGCUAUAAUUUUUGCGUUUUGCUCAGGAAGAACCCCUUUCAACACCAUUUUUCGAUCCAAUUCACACCAAACUAGACCCAAAUCAUAAAACUAAUGUUGUCUAAUCAAUUACACAUUAAUUUUACCUUAACUAACUUUAUUAUACUCAUUAUUAUCGUCAAUUAACAUGAACUUCAAUUGUUUUAAACUUAUCACUUCAAACCCAUUUUUAACAUGGUAAUUCAAACCCCAAACAUAGUAACAACCAAAUCAACAUCCCUUAUUCAAAAUGAACACAAAAAAAUUCAUCAAUUCACAUUAUAAACAUCAACUCAACAAUUAUCAACAAUUAUCAUGAAUUUCACCAAUUUCACAUAAAACUCAAAAACCCUAAUUCACCAUAAUCAAACAUUGAUUUUAACACAACUGUUAGGUUUGUAGUCUUGACAUGUUGGUGCGACAUCAUAGCGUGCCUUGUUCCGAUUUCUUGGAGAUUGUAUUUAAAUGUGAAAUCGCAGAAGAAAACUAAACGCAUCACAACUAAGAAAAGGUAGAAUAAAACCUUUCUACAAACAAAGCGCACAUCACUUGAAAGCAAAAUAAAUACGCAACUAAAUUUCAAAAAAGAUAUGCAUAAAUUAUCAUAGAAUAAGGCACCAAGUAACACGUUCUUACGUCUCAGAUUACCAAAUGGCUCUCCGAAAAAUAACCAGAGUAUGAUAAAAUUACAGAUUUCCCAAAACAAAAGGAACAUAAACUAAAAUACAAAGCACGAAAACAAAGAAGACACAACAACAUAACUCUUCAUCCACUAACUUUCCAUCAACCAAAAUCUUGGAGGGGUCCAGCUCGCUCACAUUAUCAUCAGGGUUAAAAUGCAGAACUUGCGCCCUAGUAUGCUCAAAGCCAUUGUCAAAAUAUAAGGCAAGAUCCCCCUUGCCAUCCUCAACGACGAAUUGAGCUUUGGCGAGAUCCCCUUACAACUAGACGACCUUCUUCUUCCAUGAAUCUCUCUCCAGCUCAACAACUUCUUUUUCAUCCUUCAUAUCUUUGGUCGUCUUCUCUGCAGUCUUCUUAUCCUCCAAGGCUUCCUUCAACCUACUUUCAAGACCCGUUGCUUUAUGCUUCCACUUCUCCACAUCUUCAUGAGCGUCUUUAUACUUUGCCUCUAAAGCACCAUGUUUCUUCUCCAUCACUUUUCCUAAUAAAAGGACCCGGAGCACUAAUAUUCUUGUAUCCAUUACUAGCUCGCCAAAUUUGCUUUUAACGCCAGCAUCAACGUCAACCUUAGACAGUGGCACUUUAUCCUCCAUGUAGCUACGAUAAACGCAUGACUUAAAAGUUGAAAACCCACUAACAUUACUAGAAUUUAAGUAAAAUCUCAUCAUCAAAUUAAACUCUCAUACCUACGAAAGUCGAAAUCUUUAUGCCAAAAAGAGUCAGCCACCUGAACAUUCAGAGAAAUGGUUCCCGCCACCCCGCUAGCAUAAUCAUCAUCCUUCCGACUGGCAACAAAUGUCCGCUUCGAGUCGCCCUUCCCAGUCCUCAUCUUCUUGCGUCUGGGCGAGUCAGUUUGCUCAGCCAGUACCCCAUUGCCUGCCGUCUCCAUGUUAUCAAUGUCCAUAUCCGAAUGUAACAUCCUAAAAUUUUAAGUCUAUAUUCAAAUGUAGUUAAAAAUAUAAAACAUAAUAGUGUAAUUAUUUUAAAAUACGCGAAGAUAAAAAUAAAGACAAAUAAAUAUGAUAUAAUUUCUUAUUAAUAAUUAAAUUUUAUUGGAUAAAAAGAAAAGGAGAAAGAAAGAAAAACAAAAAUAAAGGGAGUGCAAAUAACAAUUAUUUUUAGAAAAGAAAAAAAAAGUUAUAUACUUUCUCGAAUUUUUUUUCUGCCCUUGUUUAUGCAAAAAAAUACAAAAAUGCCCCACUUUUUCGAAAAAUUGCGUAAAUGCCCUACUUUUUCAGAAGCCCCUGGUACUACUCCACUUGGAGUUGCGGGGUACCCUAAAAAGUCACAAUUUUUUUGUCCUUAUUGUACGCCGCUACUUGGACUUGCGGGGUACUUUCCUACUUUUUUUUUUCCACUUUUUUUACUACCCCGCGAGUCUUAGCUUUUGCUUUUUUUUUUAAAAUUUUUUUUUUUUAAAUACCCCUCUACUUGGAGUAGAGUGGUAUAAUGAAGACAAAAAAAAUUCAACGUGUAAUAAUUACUCUCAAAUAAUAAAAAACUAAUUAAAAUUAUAUAACCAAUAAAAUACCAUCUACAAUGAUUAUAAAUGCCCGGCUGUCCCACACCUUCGUCUUCGACGAUCUCUUCCGCGAUUUACUUGAGGGUUAUGUUGGUCUUCGUCAUUUUUAUUUGUAGUUGAUUGUAUCUGACUACCAUAACCCAGUGACAACGACACAUCGUGUUCUCUUGUUGGCCAUCCCAUAUCCAGAAAUUGUUCAUUGGAGUUCAACGAAGUCGGAGAGAAGUGAGAUAAUAGGUUUGUUGGUGUUGGUGGGUGGUUGUAGUUUUGGUUGGUGUACAUUGGGUAUUGUGGGUUGUUGUAGGGGGGUAAUUGGUGUUGGACGGUCCAGCUUGGUUUGGGUCAUUAUAGGAGAAGUAGUUGUUGUUGGAUGUGUUAGCUUGGUUUGGUUCAUUGUAACCAUAAUUUGUCAUUGAAUUUUGUUGGUAAGUUGACUGAUAUUGGGGCUCAUAUGCAUUUCUCGGGGAGGUAUAUGGUGGUGGUUGGAUGAUAUUUUGUUGGGGGGUGUCGAGAAAUUCAUACAUUACAGAACCAUGAAUGUUUUGUGUUGUAUGUGGUUGGGAUUGAUGAUCUUGUAGUUGAGAAAAAAUGUCUUGAUCCCAAAAAUCAUCAUGAAUUGGUGUUUGGUUGUUGUGAAUUUCAGGUUCAUGUUCCGGCUCCGGCUCUUCUUGUUCGUCUGGAUCUGAAUCUGAUGGUUUUGUCUCAACUGAAAUCCUUAGACGUGGGUUGCAUGUGGUUGUCAACCACUCAAUAUACGCAUGAGUUGGGGUGAGUGAUCUUGGCCGCAUGUGAGGUAAAAUAUAACUCCGUCGGUUGUCCCAAUGUAAGCUCUCUUGUGGAAAGUGAAAACCAUUUGAUUGGUACCACAUCUUGAACCGUUUGUCCACUAUAUGGAAUUGUCGCAUGUCUCGUGGGGCCCCUGGUAUUUCCUGUGGCAAACCAAAUUCUAGCUUGACCCUAUCAGUUGGAUGCCAUUCAACUCUGUCAAAACAUAUAAGGUGAGUUGUUGCAGUCCACUCCCAAUAGUCUUCAGGAAAAUUGUGUGGAACAUUCUUGUAUGGUCUCCAUUUAAACUGGCAGAAGAGAGAAGUUGUAGUGUAAGGUUAACAAUUUUGAUAUAUAUAUAUAUAUAUAUAUAUAUAUAUAUAUAUAGUUCGAUAGGUGAAAUAUAUAUUCAUUAUUAAUUAAAUAACUCCUAAUUAAAUACUUGUAAAAAAACUCAUGAUUAAAUAAAUAAUUAAUUUAUAAUCGCGACAUUUUUUUAGUCCUAUAUUAAUUGCAUGUCCUACUUUUUUUUUUCUUACAAAAGAAAGUUAACAUAUAGCUUUUUAUUUCUUUACGACCAUGAAAGUGUUAAUAUGUAGCUUAAAUAACAAAAUAUCUUAAUUAUAUUUAAUUAGACCAUGAAAGUUAGUUUACCCUUGAAAUUACAUAAAAAAAAAAUUACCGUUCAAUAUAUAUAUAUAUAUAUAUAUAUAUAUAUAUAUAUAUAUAAACUCAUACAUUCAAAAAUCAAUUAUAAUAUUACUUGAUGUUCCAGUAUGUCAUCAAACUUUUUUCUGUAAGAUAUAGUGUCAUGGCUUGGAUUCUCGUAGUAUCUUGAACCUGCACCUGUCCAUCUAACAAAUGAUAUAAACAAAUUAGUAGCUAAUUUAUCAAAUAAUAAUAUUAAUAAGAAGCGAGAAUAUGCGAGGAAAUUAACAAAAAAAAUAAAUAAAUUAAUUGACCACGAUUACUUUAAUCCUAGCGGCUACUGGAGUGGGUUAUCAUUUCUCGGAGCGAUAUAACUCAACCGACAAUAUCCCCAAACUUGUAACAGAAAAUGACAUCCAGAUAGUGCUUUUAUAUUUGGGUGUGAUGCCUCACACAAGCCACGAUAAAGGUAAGCCAAAACUGCCGAUCCCCAACUAUAAUUUCUUGUUUCAUUAAAAUCCAUUAACAAAUACAACCAAGAGUUGUGCACAAAUAAUCCAGUUGUAUUAGGAAACAAGAACCCUCCAAAGAGGUAUAGUAGGUACCUCCUGUGUGUUGUAUUUUUACCUCCGGAGGAGAUUGUUCACUGAAGUUAUUAUCGACCAGAUUAUCCUUUAAUCACGACAACGAGAGAGUAAAACCAUCAGUUUUGUGUGCUGGAGGAGUUAUUCCCAACAAUUGAGCACAAUUAUUCCACAGAAGAUUUGGAGGAGCCGUAACAAUUGGUCCUCCAAAAGGUAAGCCGAGUAAAAUAUAUACGUCUUCAAACGUGAUUGUACAUUCACCCGUUCGAAAAUGAAAAGUAUGUGUUUCGGACCGCUAUCUUUCUACAAGAGUGGUUACGAUGUGCCUAUCAAUUUUGUAACGCCCUAUUUGAGAAACCUCAAAAAAUCCAGCUUGACGUAGAUAAUCUUCAAUAUAAGGACUUGGUAUGAUGUUUUGCCGUGUACGAGUGGUUAGAGGUGCACCCUCUGCAUCCUAACAAAAAAUAAUAAAGGAAUAAAAUUAAAACAUAAUCAAAAUAUAAAUUUAAAAAAACGUGAACAUAUUUAAAUUAAUAUUAAAAAAUAAAAAUGACAUUAACAAAUUAAUAUCUAUAUAUACCCAUCUUCUUAUAUGUUCUUCCAUGGAUCUAUGAUCAUUUUCCAACCACAAGUAUGCCAUUGCUUUAUAGAAUUUGAUUGAAAUAAUCUCUUAUGUGAGUGAGUAAGGAAAGGAUUGAGAUAAGUAGAAUAUGUGUAAAGAGUAAAAAUAUAGUUGUGGUAUUUAUAAUGUAAAACUAUGUGUAAAUGGUAGAAGUAGUAGUGUGGUAUUUUAAUCAAUGAAGUGAAGAGUUCCUGUGUUACUACUGCAACGCAUGCAAGCCAACAGUGUUCAAAUAAACAUAGAAAUGACAAUUGCAUCAAUAGCAGAAGCAUGGUGUUCAACAAUAUUGAAUUAAUUCGUAAACUUUGCCUCAUGAGAUGACCAUUGCAUGUAAAAAAUACAUUAAUUUCUUGCAAGAAAUUUUUGACUGAAAUGACCAAUGCAUGUUUUGAUCACGUGAAGCAUGCUAGCAAACAAAUGGCCGACAAGCUGCCUCUGAAUAACCAAUAGGAACGGCGCGUGCAAAUACUACCCCGCCACUCUGGGUUGCGUGGUACCCCCAGCUGGCGCAUGCUUUACAUACCCCGCCACUCCAGCUUGCGUGGUACCCCCCAGCUGGCGCGUGCUUUACCUACCCCGCUACUCUAGCUUGCGUGGUACCCUCUAGCCCGCUAGUCCAAACUGCGUUGUACCUUUUUUAAUUUUCCCGCUCGAAGGGCAGAUUAAAUUACAUGUUAGUAUAAAUAAAAGUGGUCUGCAUGAUAUCAUUGUAUCAAACCAUUCUACUUCAUACUCUUACUCAUUUCUUAAGAUCAAACCAAUUCAAUGGCACCAAAUAUAAACGUUUUUGUGUACUAUAAUGGAGAAGUUAAACAAAAUGAAUCCGGUAUUUUUUUUCAAAGUCAGUAUACCAAAGGUUUUAAAGUCAGCAUGGCUAGUACUUACUUGCAUCUCAAAAGAAGAAUUGCGGAAAAAGUAUGUCUCGAAGAUAAUAUGGUUGUGUCUGAAAUUAUGUGUCGGAAUCCUAUGUUUGUUGGAACUACCACAAUUCAUUACCAGGCGUUAAGAAUAACUGAUAACGACGAUGUCGAGUUUAUGUUUAACGUACAUAAAAGUCACAGUUCUUUGUCCUAUAUAGAGCUUUAUGUUACGUUUGAGAUGAAGAAUCCAACAUCUAAUUUUGAGUUAAAUUACCCAUCGAGUUCUAGUCAACACCAAAGUCUACCACAACACUACAAUCCGUCAUCGUCGCAAGAACACUACAACCCAUCAUCGUCCCAACCGCACUAUAACCCGUCUCCCAUUUAUGAUGCAUCCUUAUCGCAACCUUUUCAGUCAAAGUGGUCACAAAAUGUGUACGAACCAUCACAAAUAAUAACUCAACCUCAUCCCUCUCAAACACCAUCUCGUUCAACACAACCCAAAACCUUAAACGAUGAAAUCAAUAUAUUCACCUCCCAAUUUCAAGACCAACCAAAUGAUGAAGUUCAAGAUGAUGAAGACGAUGAUGAUGAAGAACUCCUUGCCGCACAAAACGGUGACGAGAACGAAGAAGACGAAGACGACGAUCUGCCACUACUACCAAUUUUACCAAUCAGAGCUUCUUACAACCCACCAAGGUCCAUGCGCAACGUCAAUGAUGACCACUCAACUGAACUUUAUCAUUCAAUGGCUCUUCCGGUCGAUCAAGGUAUUGCCCUAGGGAUGCAAUUUCAUAACAAGAAUGAUUGCAUUCUCGCAAUUAAAUUUUAUCACAUGAAAAAAUCAACGGAUUAUAUUGUGAAAAAAUCAGAUCCUGAAAGGUAUGUCAUCAAAUGUAAAGAUACAAAAUGUGGUUUCAAAUUGCGGGCCUCGUGGAGGAAAAAAACUGAUAAAUGGGAGAUUGGGAAAAUGAAUGAUCAUACAUGUGUCUCAACAGAAAUGACGCAAGAUCAUCAUAAACUUAGUUACAAUGUGAUAUGUGAAAGUGUUAAAUCACUACUACAUAUGGAUACUUCAAUUACAGUGAAGGUUAUAAUUGCACACAUCCGAGAGAAGUUUAAUUACACAGUUUCAUACAGAAAGGCAUGGAGAGCACGGAAUAAGGCGAUUAAAUCAAUUUAUAGUAAUUGGGAGGAGUCUUAUGAAGAACUACCACAAUGGUUGAUGGUCAUGGAAAAAGAUUUGCCAGGAACAAUAAUUGAUUUUCAAACGGACCCAUCAACAGAAGUGGCAAAUGAGACCGUCUUCAAGCGUCUUUUUUGGGCCUUUCGUCCGUGCAUCUCAGGUUUCGAAUUCUGCAAACCAAUUGUCCAAAUUGACGCAACUUGGUUGUAUGGUAAAUACAAGGGAACAUUGUUGUUAGCUGUUGCGCAAGAUGGGAACAACAAGAUAUUUCCCAUAGCUUUUGCAAUCGUGGAAGGCGAGACCAAGGAGGCAUGGAGUUUCUUUUUGAAAAAUUUAAGGCAGCAUGUCACCCCACAAGAGAACAUAUGCCUCAUUUCUGAUAGACAUGUGUCGAUAAAGAGCGCGUAUGAUGAUCCACAGAAUGGAUGGCACGAUGCUCCGACAAGCCAUGUUUAUUGUGUCCGACACAUUGCACAAAACUUUAUGAGAUCAUUCAAGGAUGGAGAACUAAAGAAGAAAGUUGAAUGCAUGGGUAAAAAUCAUAUCUCUUUCCACGUAAAUUCGACAUUUUAUUUGUUUAAAAUGACACAUCUAACUUUUUUCAAAACAAUGCAGGUUACGCCAUGAACAUCCCUACAUUCGAAUACUACCGUUCUGAAAUUGCUGUUGCAGACCGAAAGGCUUUAGCAUGGGUCGACAAUAUUCCCAAACAAAAGUGGACUCAAUCACAUGAUGAUGGUCGACGAUGGGGCCAUAUGACAAGUAACUUGGUAGAGUCACAAAACAACGUGUAUAAGGGUAUUCGAGGACUUCCGAUCACAGCUAUCGUGAAAGCAUCAUAUUACAGGUUGGCGGCCUUGUUUGCUAAAAGAGGACAUGAGGCAGCGGCAAGGGUAAAUUCUGGUGAGCCAUUCUCAGAAAACAGCAUGAAAUAUCUCAGGAAUGAGGUGAUUAAAUCCAACAGUCAUCAUGUCACACAGUUUGACCGGGAUCGGUAUACCUUUUCCGUCCGUGAAACCAUCGACCAUAAAGAAGGAUUGCCAAAGGGAGAAUACAAGGUGGACCUGCAAAAUAAAUGGUGUGACUGUGGACGAUUCAGAGCGUUACACCUACCAUGCUCACAUGUCAUUGCCGCAUGUUCUAGCUUUUCUCACGACUACAAGACUUUUGUCGAUAACAAAUUCACGAAUGAGUGUGUAUACGCCGUAUACAACAUCCACUUCGACGUGGUUCACCACCAGACAUAUUGGCCUAAUUAUGAAGGACUGAAGGUGGUUCCCAACAAGUCCAUGUGUAGGGUAAAGAAAGGUCGUCCACCAAUUACUCGCAUUAGGACCGAGAUGGACGAUGUGGAAACUGAGAGAAGAUGCGGCGUUUGUAGGAUGCCUGGUCAUUCCCGCAAAGAUUGCAUUAAUAUUAGACACCAGUAAAAAUCUAGUCUUUAUUUCGUUUGUAGGAUGUAUGGUCAUUUCCACAAAUAAUUGUAGAUUUUAUGGUAUUUUAUUGGUUAUAUAAUUUUAAUUAGUUUUUUAUUAUUUGAGAGUAAUUAUUACACGUUGAAUUUUUAUUUUUUUUUGUCUUCAUUAUACCACUAUACUCCAAGUAUUUAAAUUUUUUUUUAAAAAAAGCAAAAGCUAAAACGCAAGUCCAACUUGCGGGGUAGUAAAAAAAGUGGAAAAAAAAAAGGAAAGUACCCCGCAAGUCCAAGUAACGGGGUACAAUAAGGACAAAAAAUUUGUGACUUUUUAGGGUACCCCACAACUCCAAGUGGAGUGGUACCAGGGGCUUAUGAAAAAGUAGGGCAUUUGCGCAAUUUUUCGAAAAAGUGGGGCAUUUUUUUAUUAUCUUUGCAUAAACAAAGGCAGAAAAAAAAAAUUCUACUUUCUCCCCACGUUUUCUCAAAAUUUGUUUCUAAAAUAAUAAUAAAAAAAGAAAUAGUUAUUUCAGAAAGAGAAACCGUGUGAUAUUUUUUAAUUAGUGUACACCUACACUUCUCAUGUGCCUAUAAAUAAGAUGCUUAGUUGAACAUAAACUCACACUACAAAACUCUCCUCUCUCUAAAAAAUCAGGUUAGUUCUCUCUCUCUCUCUCUCUCUCUCUCCUUUUCUGAACUUUCUCUAUUCAAUCUAUAGUCAUUCUUUAUUCUUUUGAAAGAGACAAGAUUUACUACUAAAAUAACCUCAGAUUUGGUCCCCACAACCCUUCUUUUGGGAAGAACAACAACAUAGUAUACCCUUCUUUUGGGAAGAACAACAACAUAGUAUUAGAAUGUUCUUUUAUCAGAUGAGAAAGUGACAGUAGUUUAGUUCUUUUCAACCUAAUCAAACCAUGAAAAUAGUUUAGCUCUUUUCAACCAUUCUUUUUCAACAGAAACAUCAUUCAAUAAAAUAAAAUAAAGAGAUCUCAGAUCUGUUUUAGACUUUUAGUAGAAAAAAUUACACGAUUUAAUUAUUGUAUUUUUUAUACUGAUACAAACUAUGAAGAUUGAAACAAAGUUCAUAAGAAAGUUGAGAUCUUGUUUAAUUCAUAUUUUUAGUUUAAAGAAAAAUAAAGAAAUGAACAUUGUUUUAAGAAUGACGUAAUGACUAUUAAAUGGCUUUUAAACAUUCUGACUAUAUAAAAAGGUAGUAACAUAAGUUUCAUUUGAAAUAAAAUAAAAUCAAGCUAUUAUUAAAAUAUAUCUAAUAUAAUCUGAAGAAAAAAAAAGGACGUGAUACAGAGAAACAAAGGAAUUAGAAAACUUUAACUCGUUAUCUCUAUUAUUAUGACCUUGAUAAUGACUAUAGUCUAAUAGAUAGUUUAUUUUGGGUGAGUAUUCUAGGUGAUAUUGGAGCUGCUUUCGACGGAAACAAUAUUGCAACCACUUGCGAAGAAUCCGAAGGUAAGGGGAAUUACUACUAAUAAAUUUUAAAGAUUUUGCAUAAGUUAUGUGCUUAAGUGAUUAUAUGUGAGUAAAUAACUCUACUUGUGAGAGUUAAUUUCUCGAUGAUGUGGUAAUUUCUAGCGAUCAAGUACAUGUCAAAGGACAUCGACUUAUAUGUGUUUUAGUUAAUAUAAUUAGGAGUUUUUGAAAAUAUAAUACAUAAGUAGAAGAAAAAGUUUUGUAAAUGAUGAAUUGAUUAGAUAGUUAUAUUAUGUUUAUUUGGUAUUACUCUUGUGUAAGUGAAUGAGCAUAUGAAUUUCAAUAAGUGUUAACUGAUUUCGAUGAGUGAAAUUAGUUGGAAAUAUAUGAUUUAAAGUGUCAAUUAUGAUUCGACGCGAUAAUUUAUAAUGUUAAUCAUGAUUAAAAACUUCUCUAUAAAAAGAAAUGAUCUAAGAGAGAUAGUUGUAUCCCACCUCAUUAAUUUUAUGGUAUCAACUCAUAGGUAUGUUGUAAAGGAAAGAAACUUAAGAAUGCCAAACUAUGAUCACUAACUUAGUACGUAGACAUAGUAUAUAUAGUUAUAUUGUACGUGUAGGAAAUUCUUUAAAACAAAUGUAUAUGUGCUUUUUAACUAGGCAACAUGAAUUAUUCUUUGUUAAAAUCUCAUGAAUAAAAAGAACAUGUACUAGUUUAAUUGAAUUACCUAAGUUCUUACUUACUGCUGAAAUUUCUAUGCUUAUAAAUAAAUGAAAAAGAACAUAUGCUGGUCAUUAAUUGUUCAGUUAUUAUGUACUGGCUUGAUUUACUUGCUGGAAUUUCUAUGCUUAUACAUAAAUGAAGAGGGACAUAUGCUGGUUAUUAUUUGUUGAGUUAUUAUAUACUGGUUUGAUUUACAUCACUGUACUAAUUGAAUAAAAUUCUGAUGUGGCUAAUCAAUUUUAUAAACAUAAAUGGUUAAUUGUUUGACAUUGUUGAGUUGAAUAUGAGUGUUUUGUCUUGUCUAGAAAGUAGGGACAAUUAAGGAGCUAUAACAGGUCCCUAUACACUCAGGUGUAGAUGAGAAUGAGGAUAGUUAUGGUUUGGUUACUUUGAGGAUCUAUCGAGGGCACUUGUGUUUCGAACGCCUAUCAAUAGUUGGGGAUUGCUUCCCGGCUGAAAGUACUCGUACUACCAGACACGGUGAGCCUGAAAAAACUAGACUAUCUAUGAUAAGGUAGUGCGAUCGGACUAGAAUGAUUAGAGUUUAAGCAUAUCUUGCUCAAAAUACUAAUAAUCAUGAUAUAGUUGCCGAAACGGCCUUAUGCUCAUUAGAGUGGAACCUCCAUGGAGUAGUGAAUUAUGAGAAGAAAAUAAACUAGAGUCAAGAAAAAAAAAGUCAAAAGAGUUCAUGCAUGUGUCAUGUUGAAUGUCAAACUAUUAAUUCAAAUUGGACCUCUUAAAAGAUAGUUUUUUUUUUUUUUUUUUUAUAAUAUGCUUUGUGAUUGUUGUUGGACAGUGAAUGAAAAGAAAAUAUUAUAUCUAUGUAAAUAUCAUUUUACCUUGCUGUAUAUAUAUUAUUUUCUUUUUCCUUAUGUAAUAAAUCACGUGGAAAACUUGUGUACGAGUAAUUCACCCUUCUUUGUUUGUUUUUGUAUCUUGUUGUUUUUUUUGGGUAUGUUCGGACGUUUUUAUAGAUGAUGCCAGAAAGACAUUUAGCUCACUCGGGAACCCGCAUGAUCGAGUUCCUUGAGGUAUUUUCUUUUGCAACACUUAUUAAAGAAGAAAGUAAUAAUAAAUCAAAACACUCACACAAAGACGCCUCAAGACUAUUGGAAUCACCCUAUCGUAUCAAAAGCUCAUGAAUAUCCAUAAGUAAAAACUUCUCCAAAAAGAACACCAUACCCUACUCAUAGGGUGCCAUCUUAUUAAAAUCAUACCCCAUCACUGCAAUCGGAGCAAUGAUCCAACAUAAAGGAAACUUUGGUUUUCCUUCCACCAUCACCAACGAAGUUGAGCCCUCAGGCUCUCCUUGCACCCUAACAAACGAAUCACACCAAUCCUUCUUAAAGUUAGAAGCAUAAGGAGGGAAAAGUUUUUUACUAGGAUAGGCACUAAUUGAAACCCACAUUCCCUUGUUUACAUCUUUCGUCCUAUAAAAAUGGAAGAAGACGCCAACAGAAGGCUCCAAACUCAUCCUUACAAAGUAGUUUGAAUCCACGAAUAAACGCCUAGCUAUUAGGACGUAUUUGCGAAGGCGCCACAUUCAGAAACUUUAGCACAUCCAUCUCAAAAUCCGUAAAGGGUCGUCACCCCAAACUCUUCCAACACCGUCAUAUACAUAAGAAAGGAAUCAUCCCUGACACCCUCCAAACGCUGAUCGCACACUCUCUCGCCUACAUCACAGGGCGACACUGUCACAUCUUUCUCGUUCUCAGUAGCAGAAGUAUCCAUCUUGUUUCAGAAUAAAUUGAUAUCCGAAGGCGACAUAUAUGAAAACACCGCUCGAAGAACUUCUUCAGCUAAAUGAUUCAUCUCCAACUCAUAAGAAUACGUCAAACACAUAAUCUCUUUUUGAGUAGACGGAAGAGGCAUAUAAUGACAAAUCUCUUGACAAGUUUUCCCCCUACGACAAAUCACUAUCACUACCAUUAGAGCUAUCGCUACUAGUGUUGCUAUCAUUGGACAAUUCCCCUAAAACCCUACGAUAAAAAAGCCCUAAUUCGUAAGCUUCCCAAUCAAUCAAGUCAUUAGGAUGUGUUGCAUGUCUUAAAGAAUCUCUCCUCAGUUGGUCUCUCUCAUCAAAAUUCGUAGGAGAGAAGGCGAAAAAUGAGAGAAGGAAAAUGGAAGAGUACUUGAGAAGAUUGAAAACGUGAGCUUAGAAAUCCAGACAAUCAGCUGGCAAGUGCGCGAAUACGGAGAACUAAAAGGCGAAAAAUGCGGAAGUGAAAUGAGGAAAGGAAGGAAAUGAAGGGUCAAAGAGUUUUAGAGGACAACAACAAUUAAAACCCCCUCAAAAAACACGCUCAUCCUUGGCACGAUUGGAGACACGUGUCAAGAUACACCCAGAUUCGAACACGUCACUAUCAUCGAAAGGUCACACAUUUUGGACCAUACAAUCAUGUUAAAAAUGAAAGAUCUCGUCGAUAUAGAAUUUCAAAAAACUCGUUGCCAACUCCUCAAACAGGAAACUUACUCGCCGUGCUGUUACAAAUCACUUCGCCUUGUCCCAAGACUCGUGGUUGGGGGCUGUGAACAAACAUCAGGCAUAAAACGCAUGACUCGACUAGCACACACCCUAGGGGGCUCUAGGAUAAAGCAUAAUCACCCAAGGGGGACUCUGUAAGCUCCAACAACAACAUCCAAAGACAUACACAAAAAAUACUGAUAAACGUAAAAUAAAUUCCAAAUGCUAAUUAAUCAUUUCGCCUUGUCCCAAGACUCGUGCUUAGGAGGCUUUGGACCGUCAAUAUCUUCUUAAGGACCUAGAAGUCCUCCCAAAGGGCAUUUAGACCCUCCUAGAUGCCUAACACCCUUCAAAAGGGCUCUAAGGCCCAACACGCGCCCUUCCUAGGGAGCCGCCUCUACCAGCUUCUAAAACCUCCAAAGCUCGGCCUAAAUACCUAAUACGAUUACAAACCCUAAUACCUCAUUACGUAUAGCUUAAGAACCAUAAAUCAGGCCAAUAGAGGGCUAUAAAUACAACCUUUGAGAGCCUUCUGAAGGCAUGACCAAUACAUUACAAACCCUAAUACGAUUAUUGUACUUUUGCAAGUACAAUGAGGAAGGCGAUAUUGACAGGGAAAGUUUCCACCUAAUUUGGGCUAAAAACAUGGACUUUUGGGGGUAAAAAAGUCACAAAAAGUGACUUUUUUCGCAAGGAGCAGGGCGCCUAGCGCAUAAUGGCAUGCACCUAGCUCAUGUUCCUGCUAGGCUGAGGCGCCUAGUGCCCCUUUCAUGCGCCAGACGCUUCAGUUGUUUAGCUUAGGGGCACCUAUUGUGCACCUGGGUGCAUAAGUGCCUUUUCAGUGCCUUUUCAGUGCUGUUUUUCUUGUUUUCUUUGCCUUUUGAGGUGUUUUCUUCAAUGUAAGAUGUCUUGGAACUUGAGAACAAAAUUCCUUCCUUUGUAAAGACUUCUGAGGCAUCUUGAAUCUUCAUUAUUCAUCUUCCCAAGGUCCACAUAAAUCUUCAAAUGUCUUGCAUUGUCUGAUUUGCUUGAUUUCUUCGUGAAUUACUUCAACAACACCCUAAAAUUGCUAUUUUUCAGGAAGAAUAGAAUUACAAACUCAAUAUAAAAUACAUUACAAAUGUACCGAAAUCAUAGGCAAUUGAUCAAAUACUCUUCUUCUUUGCUGGUAAAACCUACUGAAAUUGACUGAAAAAUGUAACAGCCCUAUUUUCGUUAGAUUUAUUUUAAUUGUUUUAAUAUGUGUUUAUUUAUGCUUAUGUGUGAUUAUUAUCAUUGGGUGCAUUUUUAUGGGUUUUCGUGUUGGAAGGAUAAUUUAGUAAUUUCAUGUAAGGAUUAUUUUUAGUGUUUCAAGUGAGAACCAUUAUUUACUAAGUUACUAGUGUGGUAAUUAGUUGUGAGCCGGUAAGUGAUCGUUGUUAUUAUUUUACCGUUAAGGGAGUAGAAACAUUUUAGAAUUAGUGAAUUAGUGGGUUAAGCCCACUAAGGCAUUAGGGUUAAACCCAAUUGAGAAGAGCCUAUAUAAGUUCUAGAUUUUAGAGAAAAAUAGGUUUCCACUUCAUUUCAUAAGAAUUUUGAGAGAGGUAGAGAUAGAAAGUUCAAGAGAAGAGGAAAAUGGUUAGAAGGGAGAAAAGCUUGAAGACUCAAGAGGUGAUAGAGAUUCUAGGACCUAAAUUGAAGCUUUUGCUAGGAUUUUUGCUAAUUGAGGUAAGGGGGUUAGAUUUCAAUCAUAAUAACUUAGUUGUAGCUUUUACCCUAAUUUCAUGUAUAAAUGCUUAUUUGUAUAAAGUGAUUAUUAUGAAAUUAAUUGAUGAAAUUCGUGGUUAUGCUUUGAUGUGAUGUUUGGGUAUGUGAAAUUGAUGUUAAUUAAGUUGUUGAUGAAGAAUUUACAUGCUCAAGUUAUGUAUAUAUGUAUACUUGUGUUUUUGCUCAAAAUUGAUGAAGUAUAAUGUUAUUGUUGGUGAAUUGUUGAUGAAUUCACUUCUGAUUGUUGUUGUUGUGAUUGUGAGUAGUUGUUGUUGAUGAUUGAAACCUUGGGUAAUCUUAACCAUAGAGCUUGAAGUGAGUUUCUAUUGUUCUUGAAGUUUUCAUGAAAAAUAGGUCAAAUGGUAAUUUUGUUGAAAUUAUGUUGGAUUCAAGUUUUUAUAUGGAUUUGAGUGUCUUUUCAUGUUUAGACAAACUUUGGGAUCAAAUUUGGGUAUUGGGUCAAAAUUGGGAUUUUGGGGUGAAAAAUGAGUUUUUUUUUGUAGUAGAACUCCAGAAGCCUGUCACAACUCGCCAUGGCGAGCGGGAGGCGAGCAGGAGGUGCUUCCUGUGUGUUAACUCCCCAUGGCGAGUGAUUCACUCACAGGGCGAGCUGCACAGUGACAUCAUUCCCUGUUUCGCAAUCUUGCGUCUUUUUCACAUAUUUUUGUUUUGAAUUGGUCUUUGGUAUAAAUAUGAAAGUUUUAGAUAAUUGUGUUAGCUUUCCAGUGGCGUUGGUUUGACUUGAAAAUGAUUUUUGGUUUUUGAGUUAUGAUGAAAAUACUCCAAGGAGGUCUUAGUGAAAUUUUAUGAAAAUUCCGCAUAACUAUUUCUAAGUCAACCCAAAACUUAUGGAUUGUUUCCAAACUUCAAAACUUGUGUACUAUGAGUUAAAUUAAUGUGUUUAAGAGUAUUUAAGCUACGUUGUGGUGAAUUUAACUUGGUUUUGUUUUGAAAGUGAAUUGGUUUUACAUUAUGAGUAAAGCGAUACGAACUUUGCAAAACUUUGAAUUUAAGUGAGUUGGCCUAUGGGACCUUGAUGUAUACACUAUUGCACUCAUAUGUGAUUGGUGUAUAUACUUAGUUGAGGUUUCCAAAUGUGUUUACCUUGUUUUGUCGGAUAACUUGAAAAUUGGUAAAAUGAUACGAACUUGUCGUAACCUGUGAUUUUGAUGAUUUUGUCGUAGUAGGCCGGUGAAACGCACAUGUAUAUUCAACUACACUCAUAUGUGAUCUAAGUGUAUACAUAGUCGAGGCCCUAGAGUUUAUUUACUUGGUGUUAGUUCAUUUGUCUCAAUUAUUUUAAAGUUGUAAAAUGAGAGUUGAACUUUGUCAAAAAUGGUUCUUUAAAGCCAAUUACCUUAUAAAUCUUUUGUAGAUAACUUUAUAUGACUAAAUGAAGAUAUGUGAAUGAAUUUUUAAUUGUUGAAUAUGAUAUUAUCAUAAGGUGUUGCAUUUUCUCUUUACUUGGAAUAUGAUAAGUAUUUGGAAUGGUGGAACUAUACUAUAUGGUUGAUGUUGAUUAAUAUUUAUAUAUCAAUUGAUGUUGAUGAUUACUGAUAAUUAUGAUGAAAAUGUGAUGAUGACUCUUAAUUGGAUUAUGACUUUAUUGUUGUGUGGACGUAAAUAUUUGAUAAUGCAAUUGUUGUUGAUGUUAUCCUUUAUAUUGUUGUUGAAUAUUUAUGAGGUGAUUUUGCAUUGUCAAGUCUUUCCUUGUAUGUCCAUGCAUCAUAGUCAUGUUGAGUCUUGAUGUUGUAAAGGAGGGUUACUCUUUUACUUUGGUGAUAAUGUAAGACGGGUGUGAAAUUUUACAUAUGAUGUUUUUGUUGCAUCAUGUGUGACGACCUUGAGGUGAUUUGGUACCACAUGCAUAUAUGUGUCGGGAUUAGGCACAUAUCAUAUUGGCGUGAGUCUUAAUUGAUGUAUUUGAAUGAUGAUUGAUGAUGAUAAGUGUGUUUGAUGAAUACAUACUUGUGAUAUUUAGAAUUGUUGCAUGAAUGUGUAUAUGGAAGUUAAUUGCUCAUGAUUAAUUAAUUGAUACUUGAUUUGAUUCAUUUAUGUCUAACUAUUUAUGUGGAUUAUGAUUGUUGUAAAGCUUACCCCUAGUGGUUUUGACCACCUACCUGUCUAUAUGGAUGGGUAGACGAAGUGCAAGAUUAGUCGCUUUGGUGAGUUGCUUGGUGAUUGCUUAGAUAGAGGGAGUUAUCUCCGUUAUCGUUUCCUUAGAGUCUUAGGAUAGGCUCUGAUCUAGGAUGUAUGUCUUAUGAUUAUUCUAGAUUGUUUAUUUUGGAUUUAUUUGUGUUGUGGAGAUUUACCCAAUUGUCGGAAUUUGAAGAAUUUUUAUGUUGAUGUAUUUUGACCUCAUGGCAUGUAUACUUUUGAAGUGUAUGGUUUAUAUCCGCUGCAACGGUAUAGAAUUUUUAUAUAUGCUUGUUAUUUGAACAUUGUUGAUGAUGUGGCGUCUAUUUCUUGGAUAUUUAUAUUAUUCGCGUGUUUUAUUGCUUUAAUAGAAAUAGGGCGCUACAAAAAACAUGCUAAAAAUAACGUAAGAUGUCCUGUCAUCAUACAACGAUUGAGAAAAAGAUAAAGAUUGUCUAAUACCCAAGACUUCUUACAUAACUAUUUCAUCAAAGCAGAAUAGUUCAAAAACUGGAAGGUGUGGGUUUUCAUGACCUAGGAAUACAGGUAGCUCAAGUGAUGACAACAUAAUUUAUGGGAAAUAUGAGAAUCAUCAAGUCUGUGGUAAUGUCAAAUGGAUUCUCAAUCAGAAAAGAAUGCAGAACCUUUAUCCCAGACUUUCCCUCGAUCAUCCAAGAACCAAAUACCAAAGAUCUAGCAGACCUAGUGUCACAAGCUUCUGAAGAUCUAAUCUGACAUGGACCAUGCUCCUAGGGCAUGGACCAUGCACCUAGGGUAGGGUGCGUUUCACAGUCACAUGCGCCUAGGGCAUGGAGUGUGCUCCCUGAGAACUAAAAAAGUGUGGGGCAAAAUUGAUUUUUUUUCGACUUUUGUGUUGUUAUUUUAUGUUGUGAUUUUCUCAGAUUGGAGUGGAGGUAGGAUGUGAGAGUUCAACAGAUCACCAUUUGUAUGACUGAACAGACUAUUCAGAAAAUCUGAAUCAGUGUUUUGAUAAAUGGUUUAGCUAGAGGGUAAUGAUAUAGGUGGCGAAGGAAUAAUGAUGGAUGGUACUGAAGAAAUGUUAACAUAUUAUGUAAGCUCAAGAUCAAUACCUUUUGUAUUAUGAGAUUCUUCUGCUUUGCCUGGUGAGGUUGGCUCAACGGUAGCUGUUGUGAGGUUGGCUCAACGGUAGCUGCUUCUGUGACUAGCAUGCUGACUUCUUCUGCUUGCUUCUGUUGCUUCUCUUGGUUCUCACACUCAUCUACAUCGAUGAAUAUUAGAUGACACAAAUCUUCCUUAGCAUGUACAUUCUUCUUCCUUUCUGGUGAGGGAAUGAGUGAGUGAAUAGUACCAGAGUUCCUUGUGAGCUUGGAAAAAUCCGUUUUGUAGACAGAUCACAAAGUCACAUACUCUUAAUUUGUCUCUGAGUCGGUUUUGGAUUGCCUCGUCUUUUUGGGUGCUUGAGAAACUUUCUCAUCACCUUUCCUCUUAACCUCGACUUUCUUUAACUUCUUUGUUGGAGGAGAUGUUGUGACUUUGGAUGAUUUCCUCUUAUUCUUCUUGUUGUCUGCAGUUUCUGAGUCACCAGGAGUUUAAUCCGGAAAGAACUAAUCCGCAACUAAUUACUAAUAUUUUUCAUUGAAAAAAAAUAAUUUUAAAUAAGACUGGUACCUUGGUCUGUUGUAAAUUUGUAAGAACUAAUUUGACAGACAAUGAUAUAACUCAAAGACUAAUUUAUUUGUAAGUGCAAUAAUUUUGUUACUAAUUUUUGACCGUAAAUAACACACAAGUUAGCAGAAGGACCAAGUUGUUCAAUAUAAUUCAAAAUGUGAUUGUUUUUGCCAUGGCAUCCCCCAGUUUUUCUAUAAUUACACAAGAUUCCCUUUGUCUCGAUGGUUAGGAAGUACAAUUUUCUUUUGGAUGUCUCGUGUCUGAGUCCUAAUUCCCCUCAUUUUUAUAUUUCUAUUAUAUUAUAUUUUAAAUUUUAUUAAAAAAAUGUUCUUGAGGGGGAAUCGAACACGCACCACUACACUGAAUUCUAGCAAAAAACUGACCCCUAGACCGGUUACUGAUCUGAAGAAUAUUAUGAAACAACUAAACAUAUAUUCCAUAAAUUUUGGCACCCCCAAGAUAAAAACUCAAGAUCCGCCAUUGCCUAACUCAAGGUCCUAAAUACGCCACUACCAUUAACUAUAAUUAAUAAGAGUGUUUUAGAAAAUGAAACAUAUUUUGAACAUAUUUCUUAUCAUUUCUUUAACAAUUAUGUAAAACUCAAAAGGAACCCUUAAUUUGAGACAGAGGAUAUAUAAUAAUCGAUGAAGUUUAAUAUCUGCAAAAAAGUGUUAUUAAGUGAAGUAAACUUAACAAGGGUGACACUUGUUUUCUUUUGGUAAGGUGUGGGAGCACUCUUGACUGAGUUUCUAUUUUUUUUUUUUAUAUUCUUUUGAAAGUUGUAGUGGUGUAAUUGGGUGGUUAGUUGAAGUAAUUUUCGUUUUGGUUCUUGCUUGAUCUAUUUUGCAUUGUGAAAUUUCAAUUCUUAGUUUGCUUUCUACAUUGACGGAGUUGCUAAGUUGCAAUCAAACUUUUGAGUGUGUAUUAAUUAUAACAGUAAGAGUGUUGCUAGCACUACUCUUAUAUAAAAUCAGAUGUAUUUUUAAAUUUAUUUAUUUAUUUUUUUUUUUUUAAUUUCUACGAAAGUGGUGCACUUUUCCAUGAAUAUGCUUUUAGUGCAACUCCUUACCAAUGUAGUCAAACAAUUUCUUAAAACUCAUUGUUAUUAGUCAUUUCGAAACAAUGUAUUCACCAAGACAAAGGAGUGGGUGGAAGGAUAAUGGGUGCAUGCACAAUCAAGAAAAAGUUAGGUGAACAUUACAAUCAAAAUAUAUAGCAUAGAGCAUCAAAAUUUAUCGUAUGAAACAAUGUUUUUCUAAAAUAUGAAUGUGAACAAAUAACCCUUCAACUCAUAAGAUGAUCUUUAAUAUAUAGAAUUAGAAAGUUAGAGUAUCAGUACACCGAAAUUUAUAUAUUCAAAAGUGAGGCGUAGUUGGUUUUCCUCUUUAUGUAGUAUAGUUCGGUUUUUCCAUUUUAUUAUGGUACUUAUUCCUAUCAAAUUGAUAAAUCAGCUUUAUCUUAUAAUUGAUUUAACUAAUGAUGACUUGAACAUCAAUAUUAUAUAUUCGGAUAUACGAGUACUUCAUCGUGCUCUUAAUUUAGAGAUGUUUUGAGUUUGUUUACAAAUUGAAUCUUUGAAUUUUAGACAUAGAACUUGUACUCUUUUAGAUAUAAUAUACCGAUUUGAAUGGAUAAAUACCGUAAUUCCAAACAUAUAUUUUUUUUUCACACACAUACCUCAUCCAUUACGAAACGCAGGAACUAAAGCUAUAUAAUAUAGUGAAGCUAAUUUAAUAAAAAAUAUAUAUAUUUGGUGAUGCUAAACUCAGUCUAACUUAAUGCCAGUUCAAAAGGAACACUGUGGUAUGGAGGAAUUCUUUGUUUUGCAUUUAUAAAUGGCAACUAUACCCUAUUAAUCAUCAUCAUAAAAAUAAUUUUUAUAAUGUAUGAGACCAAGUUUCACGUCUCUAUUAUUUUUCAUCAUUUUUUAGAAUUGUACGAUCUUGUACCAGAUCUUCGUUUAGUUAUGAUGAUAGCAACCACUCUCACUGAAAAAUUAUAUAAUAACAUUUUUUUGGCAUAUUUAAUUACUGAUCCUGUCGGUGUAUUAUUGUAAAAUUAGGCAAUUUGUCCAAUCAAUUCACACAUAAUUUCAAACCUGGCAACUAUAUAAAAACAAAAUCAUAGGUAAAUAAUGUAGAAAAUCACCAACAACCCUUGAAUUUUGUUACAAGAAAGGGCCAAGUCAUCACCUUAUCAAGAUUGUGAGUGGAUUCACAAAGAUCACGACUAGUAUAAAAGGAGGAAGUCACUCUUGUGUUUUCUGCACCAAACUCAUAAGUCACUAACAUGGCUUCCUCAAACUUCCUAGUGCUGCUUCUUUUUGCUCUAUUUGCCAUUCCUCAGGGUCUUGCCAAUUAUGAGAAGCCUCCGGUUUACCAACCACCGGUGUAUAAGCCACCAGUUGAGAAACCCCCGGUCUACAAACCCCCUGUAGAAAAGCCACCAGUAUAUAAGCCACCAGUAGAGAAGCCUCCAGUUUACAAACCACCGGUGUACAAGCCACCUGUGUACAAACCCCCAGUAGUGAAACCCCCAGUCUACAAACCUCCUGUUUACAAGCCACCGGUGUACAAGCCACCAGUUUACAAACCACCAGUAGAGAAGCCCCCAGUUUACAAGCCACCUGUAUACAAACCCCCAGUAGUGAAACCCCCAGUCUACAAACCUCCUGUUUACAAGCCACCAGUUGAGAAGCCUCCAGUUUACAAGCCACCAGUAGUGAAGCCACCUGUUUACAAGCCCCCAGUCUACAAGCCACCAGUAGUGAAGCCACCUGUAUACAAGCCUCCAGUCUACAAGCCACCCGUUUACAAGCCUCCAGUUGAGAAGCCUCCGGUCUACAAGCCACCUGUUUACAAGCCCCCAGUUGAGAAACCUCCAGUCUACAAGCCACCGGUUUACAAGCCUCCAGUCGAGAAGCCACCAGUUUACGGACCUCCUCACCACCCAUAGGACUCUCGGAUGCUUUUAAGUAAAUAAGUUAAAUAAGAGAUAUAUAAUGUUUCCAAAGCAAGGAUUAUAUAUUCUUGGAAUCUUCAUUUUAGUCUUUUGUUUACAAAUCCUAUUACCAAGAUAAGAAUGUGAAAGAAAAUGGUGCAUUUGUACUCCAAGUUAUGAAUAAGAACGUUGUGAUUUAGCACUUUUUAAUUUGUGUUGGUUGACUAAAUUGGACAUAGUAUAUAUAUACUCUACUUAAUACUCUGUCAUAUCAGUAAGGUGCAUGAAAGUUCAAUUUUCUGUAGUAGACAUAACGAAUAAUUAAUUUAUGUUUGAAUCUAGAAUUUACUAAACUUCACGUACUUGGAAUUUCAUUGCAUUAUAGCUUGACUCAGUAGUAGCUUUAGUGAAAAAUGAUUUUGGUGCUUAAAAUUUUAAGAGUUGGAGUUUGGACAAAUUAUACACUCAUAUAAUUUAGUUAUCUUUUCAAAUUUACAAUUACAAUUUUCAAGGUUCUAUAUUUGUGUUGAUGCACCAAUUAAGAGAAUGAUCAAGAAAAUUAGGUUUUUAAUUGGUUUUUAUCGAUGAUUUCUGAAGAUAUAUUUCGGCAGAUGAACUAAUCCUUCAAUUUAAGAGAUUAAAUUGCCAUUUUACAAAUUUCAAUGAUUAUAUUAUUACCUAAUCUUAAAUAUAAUUUUUAGGGCUAAAACGAUGAUUCACUCAAUAUAUAUUGUGAUUUCUUAUUUUUUUUAUGAUAUAAAGAUAGCUGAAGUUGUGUGAUAUACAAAGUUAUAUUUCCUUUGGAAGAUAAGAGUCCCCCACCAUAUUGACAUGAAAGUGAACGUGGGAAAAUAUGUGCAAUUAAGGUUCCAAAUAUUAAACAAUAGCCACAAUAAUUGUCUAUAACUCAUAACAAAUAUAAGAACUUGAUAAGAAAAAUAAUAAAUAUAAGAACAUGAGCAGGCCAUAGUUUUUUAGCCCGAGAAGCUUCAUCUUCUUUUUAAGUCUAACAUUUUUUAAUCUUCAUUCAAAGAAGAUUGGUGAUUUUGGGAUAUUUUUAUAAGAUAGGUAAAUAAUGAAAUUUGUGUUGUACUCGAAGAAAUCUACCACACGAUUUGAAUGAAUAUAUUACUUUUAGUCAAAAUAAAUUAAAAUAAAGAAUGUAACAUUUCAAACUCACUCACAUAUAAAGAAUGAAUUUACAAUCUUUAAAACACAAAUAUUUAAUCCUUAAAUCUAACACCUCUCUUAGUUUUAGCGAAAUGAACUUUGUGUUGUACUCGAAGAAAUCUACCACACAAUUUGAAUGAAUAUAUUACUUUUAGUCAAAAUAAAUUAAAAUAAAGAAUGUAAAAUUUCAAACUCACAUAAAAAGAAUGAAUUUACAAUCUUUAAAACACAAAUAUUUAAUCCUUAAAACUAACACCUCUCUUACAUUUAUUUUGUUUACGUACCUUUAUUUUGUUUUCAAAUACUUAUAUUUAGUUGAAUUCCUUCAUUAUACUCUUUUUAAUGAAUUUUCUGAACAAAAUAAAAUUGUGUUACUCAGUCACUCAAAUUAGAGUGGAUAGAGCAAUGAAAAUAUUUAUUACUAUGUAGUUUAUAGUUGGAGUGAUCGGAUAGUCUAGUGGGAUCUUAGCCACUCUCGUUUGACUCACUUGGAGCAUGUCAAAAAUAUUUUUUUGAAAAUGAACGAUGGAGAUUUACUUUGCACUAGGUCCAGUGAAAAAGAUAUGGGAGAUAAUCCCAAUCUUAGCUUAUUGGGUAGGCCAGUGUUGAGAAUGGAUUCUCUCAAAUGUAAUUAUCUCACUAGUCUAAUUACCAACACAAUCAAAGAGAAAAAAUAGUGGGAUGUAAGUAAAAAAUCCAUAUUCUACUUACUCAAUCAUCUAUACAAGCUACUUUAAUUAUCUAGUCGAACGUUACGAGCGUUACAAGAGAAAUCAGAAUAUCGAUGAUCAAAAUCCUUCAAAGCAAAAGAUGUUGUUGUGUGCAAGUGUGAGUUAUAUGCCCCACAUCGGAUAAAAGAGUAAAGGUUGAACACCUUAUAAGUAAGAGGACCAUAAACCCAAAGCCUUAAGGUUUUGGGUAAGAGUGUGGUGUCUCCCUUGCUUGUCUGGUUGUUCUAGCCUCGAUGUGGACGCUCCCCCAAGCUCCCCUCGCUGACCCAACAGUGGUAUCAGAACCCCGGUUCGAUGAAGGGUACGACUGAGGCCGCCUGUCAGUUGUGCAGAAAGCAGCAACGACGGUACAAGCAACAAGUGGCUUCUUGUGCAGCAACGGCUAUACAUGCAAAGUAAAAAGCUUCCACGCGGUACAAGCAACAAGUGGCUUCUUGUGCAGCAAUGGCUAUACAUGCAAAGUAAAAAGCUUCCACUCUAGGGGAGCGACUCACGCUUGAGGGGGAGUGCUGUUGUGUGCAAGUGUCUGUUAUAUGUCUCAAAUCGGAUAAAAGAGUAAAGGUUGAACAUCUUAUAAGUUAGAGGACCCAUAAACCCAUAGCCUUAAUACUGUCCUUUUUGCAUAUUUAGCCCCCCCGAAACCAAUUUUAACCAAUUCAACGAUGACGUGGAUGUCACGUGUGUAAUGCUUUAAUUAUUUUAGUUUUAGAUAGAUACAGAGAGAGAGGUGUCAUAUGUCAAAAAAAAAAAAAGAUAGAAAAGAUUUCCUUCCUUGAAUCGUUGAGGUAACUACAAACUAAGACAAUGAUGUUAUUGGUUACUUGUUUCUAAUACCUUUGAAAAAGAUAGUUAGACCAAUGUAUUGGUCAUUAACUCUUUUCAAUGGUUACUACCCUAGUGUCUAAGGUGAGUCAUAACAACGUCAAAGUAAGUACAAUUAUUAUUAAUUUAUGUCUACACCUAAUCAAUAAUUGAAGGUUAAGAUAGGUCAAGCCAACAAAGUUAAGGUUAAGAUAAUCAUUUUCACCUAAAUUGAUUUAUGAACAUAUGUUAAUGAUGACAGUCCGUCAUAUCACAUUUUUAGAGUCUUUUCAAUUAAGUUUUUAUUCUAAUUUUAUUAAUUUAGUACUUAAUUUAGAGUCAUUUUAAAUAAAUUGUCAUUUUCUUAUUAUUGAGUCAACUAGUGUAUUAUUACUAUUAUUAUUGGUCAAUUAGUGGCUAGUAAAGAGAAUGAAACAAAAACAUGGUUUUGUGAUGGAUGUGAUUGGCCAAGAAAAAUGAUAACAAGUUGAACGAAAGAAAAGAAGACCACACAAUGUUGCAUUAGGGUGCAGGAAUCAAAACCAAUAUAAUUGGGCUUUCUUUCAUGGACGUUGAACCAAGAAAAAGAAAAGAAAAGAUAACUUGCUGCAUAAUGUUAAUUUGGAAAGAAAAAUAGGUUUGACAAGCUAUAAAAGGAGACCACGCACAGGAACAAAGCAGACGAUUGGGAAAGAAAGAGCAGCACGCGGUACGAGACAAAAGGAGGAGGAGAAAAGCUCAUGGAAUUUGGAAUAUGCAACAGUACUGAUUAAAUAGAACAAAGCCGGUAGACCAUAAUUCGAUCGGUUUAUUUCUUUUAGUAUGUUGUUUAUUCCUUUAAUAUGUCUAGUUAAUUCCAUUUGAUUGAGUCACGAUGAACCUAUUGUAAUAUAUGAAUCAGUAGUUAAAACUCUUUUUAUUAUCAAUAUUAUUCAGUCUUUAUUCAGAAUUAUCUGUGUUCAUUGCCUUUCAUAUGAUUGUUUGCAUUGUUUGCAUUGUUUGCAUGACUAUUAACCCUAACUUCUUACAAUCACAUAAAUUGAUCUUAGGAAUUGAAUGACUACUAACCCUAACUUUUAAUCCUGAAAUAAUAAUUCUGUUUAAUUCAACAUAGGAACCUAGAGAUAGGAAAUUGAGGAUUAUGACAUAUAACGUUCUAACAUCGCUUCCGCGGUUAUUCAACCAGUUUAAAAGAUUAAAAGGUUAUAACUUAGGAAAUGGUUUUGAGUCAAGAGAUUGAUCAAAACUAAUUAGUUAAUUUGUCGUAAAGAUUGAAUAAGUGUUGAGAGCAAAGAGAGAUAAACUAUUUCACAUAAAACAAUAGAGGAUUUACCGGCUGAUCAUCUGUUUUAAUCCAAUUAUCAAACCAUUUUAUUUUAUGUUAUUUACUUUUUAUUGCACACAAACGUACUGCCUCAUACACUUAUAAAAUUUACACAUCCUAGAUAUUAACUUUAUUGCUAGUUUGAGAUUAACACAGUCCUCGUGGAUACGAACUUAUUUUAUUACUUCGAUAGUUUUAGUACACUUGCUAAAAUAUUUAUGAGUUAACCAAUAAAGAGUAUCAAGAACAACUUUAACCGAAUAAAAUAGAAAAGUAAUUAAAUGAAAUUUAUAGAAUUAUUCAAAGUUACAUAAUCAAACAAUUACGAGGAAGUUCUUAUUUCAUGACCUAACAUAUAUAGUAUUAGCUACUCAUAGAUUUUCUAAACAUAUAUAAAUAGAUAUGAAGAAGAAAGCAUGAGAAAAGGAUCAGCAAGUGAGGAUUAAUUGGCUCCCUAAUGGCCGUGGUCACUCCAAUCCUUCCAAAAUUGUGUUUCUGCCUUCGUCUUCUCGCUAAAAAGUAUUUUCCACUAACUUAGGUUUCAAUAUUUAUAGGUGUGCAUUUCCUUAAGUUUUUGGGAAAUUGGCACACGAUGCGAUCCUAUUCCUCAUGAUGCGAGGAUAACAUAACUAAUCUUGUUGGCCUCACGUUUAUUGUCCCGAUGCAAAGCUCAUGAAGAUUGAUACGAUUCAAGGAAAUGUGAUUUGAUUUAACCAAGCAAAAACCAAGAUCAUAGGAUAACAAUGAUACGAUUCAAAGAAGUGUUAACUUGAUUCACAGUAAUACAAUUCAAAGAAUCAUGAAUCGUUUAAAAAUUUAUGGAAAAUUAGCAGAAACUUUUCAUGAUAAGAUUCAAAAAAGUUUGAAUUGAAUCAAUUGGUUAGAAAAACAUUUUGACCAAGAAAAAUGAAGUUUUCUUUAUACAAACAAAACACAAGACAACAAGGGAUCAUAUGAUUUAUGAGGCAAGAUUUCUAGGUAUGCUUUAACAUGAUAUUAGUCAAUAACAACUAAUAUCUAAACAUCAUCAAAUAAAAACUACCUAAUGAACAUCAUAAAAACACAAACCUAUAACUACACAACUUCAUCCAACUUAUUGGGUGUACCGCAUUAACUAGAUAAUGGUCAUAUCUAUACUAUAUAUAAAGAAAAUAACAUGUUUUUCAAGGUGAGAAAAACACGAGAGGGGGGGGGGGGGGGGGUUGAAUUGUGGUUUCUUUCUCUUCUCCUAAAACCGAAUUCACUAUUCAGAACUUGAUAGAGUUCAGCUUCUGAAGUAGUGUUCAGAGUCUAGUUGCAGCGGAUAAGAAAAGAGAGAGAGAGAGAGAGGCAAGACACAAAGCAACUAUACAGAUUCCUUCCACAAACCGGAACUAGUCAUGUCCCCCUUGCACCUCCAAGAAGAGUUCACUAAAAUCAAUAUUCGAUUACAAUUGCUCAGGGCUCAAAAUAGCAAGAGACUUCAAACUACUCAAGAACAACUACAAGAGAUUUCCUAUGCUCAAGAACAAAAUCAAGAGACUUCCUAUGCUCAAGCACAACUGCAAGAGACUUCAUACAAAUCAGAUAAGACUCUUAAGAUUCUAGAAUUUCUAAAAUAUGAAAGUUGAUAAGAAAUUCUAAGUGAACUUUGAUGUGAAACAUUUUUAGCAGAGUUUUGGCACUUGUAAAAUUGUUGUAAGUCUCUUAGAAAUCUUCAAGUCUUCACUCCUUUAUAUAGAGGUGUGAAAGAGACGUUGUUGAUUUCCAACACAUUAAAAGAGUCGUUAUUGAAGCUUGAUCAAAUUUCAAUUCCAUUCCAAGUAUAGAGGAAUACCAGCGUAGUCACAAUUGUUGUUCUUGUACUAUUGCAGACAGAAAACAGAGUAGUGGAGAAGGUGGUUGUACAAUUGUACUAUUGUCCUUUUCCAAUGUUCUUCAAGGGAUAAGCAUCCAAUGACUUCAAAUUCCUCUUAAUUAGUUGUUGCUCUAGACUUCUAUUCCUUCUGCAAUGAUAGGCAUGAUAAUAACAACUCUUGACAAAUAUUGAAGCUUCCAGUCUUUCAGCUUAUGAUCUUAAACUUCUAACGACGUCAGCUUCUGGUAGUCUCCAGCUUAUGAUAAAAGUGCUUCUGAUGAUGUCAUCUUCAGAACCUCUUUGUCUUCAAAACCUCUUUUCCUUCAGAUGGUUCCUUGCAACUCAAGCUUCCUUUUUUUAAAUUCCAUUGCUCUCAUUUGUUCUUCUAGAACCCAUGCUUCAUUUAAAGACACUCAAAUUUUUGUAUAUGGUCCUGCACACUUGAACAAAUAUUAUCAUAUCCAAUUGAAUUUUUUUAAUACCUUGUUAUCAUCAAAACUUAAAGGGUAAUGUUAAACACAUUUUGUUCCAACAUUUUUGACUCUUUUAGAAUGACUUUUUCUCUUUCCAAAAUUACCAUCAACUUUCAAUACAAAUAACACAUACAACAAGAAUUGUGUUAUUUGAACAUCCAUAUAUGCGACAACUUUUGUGACAACCAAAAUUUUACAAAGAAAAUGAAGUAGUGGCACAAAAACCAAAGCAAUAGAGAGAGAAAGUAAAAAGAUAAUGUGAGUAUGAGAGAGAAAGUUGUCACAAAAGUUGUAAAAAAUAGUUGUUCAAAUAUCAUUUCUCCAUACAACAAAUAGAUGAGAGUAAAUUCAAACAUUAAAAUAAAAUUGUAAUACACACGAUAUGAGUAUAUAUGUCCAGUUUUUUCCUUUAUCAUUUAAAAAAUGUAACAAACAAGAUGAGAAUAUCAGAGAGAUGAGAGAUAGUGACGUGAGACAAGAAAGACCUCUCCGUGGCCCGCCUUUGCUUGAACGGUGGUAACCGCACCAGAAUUUAUCUCCAUUUGAGAGAUACACUAGGGGGUAGGUAUGCAGCCUGGGUGGUAGAAAAUGGGGGGGGGGGGGGGGGGGGUAUGGGUGAUUGGUCUGUAGUUAGGUCACGAAAGAGGAAAGCGACGCAAUCGGAAGAUCGAGGAAGGGACAAGUCAAGGGUUUCAGAGCGACGCGGAGGCACGGUAAGGGUUAGAGGGAUCGCACAUAAUGAUUACGGGUUUGAUGGCAGAGAGGCGCGACAAUCAGCAAGGGCUCUUCAUGAUCAGCAAGGUUUGGGUCGUUAUCAGUUUGGAAACAACGAUUUGGCUUUCGACAGAUGCGGGUCUGAUGCUAUCAUGGGAAAAGGCUUCUUCGACGACAAACAUAACAAUGGUAGUAAAAUUACUUUCUAUUUUGCAAACAUUCCUGAUUAUAUGCCGUUGUUUCGUCUCCGUCAAUACUUUGAAGUGUGUGGUAUUUUGUCUGAUGUCUAUGUUGCCAGACAACUAAAUUCACGUGGUCAGGUCUAUGGCUUCGUUAGAUUUUUGAAUGUGAGGAACAAGGACAAAUUAGCACAAGAUUUGAAUAAUGUAUGGAUUGGUGACUUUAAGGUCUGGGCGCGUGAAGCAAAAUUUGAUAGGUUUGCACAAUAUGAUGAUGAUCAUAGGGUGUCUAUGCAUGGUGAUAGAAGGGAUGAGAAUGGAGGGGAGAGGAGGCCGGUGGUGAGAACUAAUGGUGAUGGAGUAAAAAAUAUGAGGAUGUGUAAUUUUAAAAAAAUAGGAGGGAUAAUAAAAAUAGUUGUUGGUCUCAUUUUAAAAAAAAAUAAAAAAAUUGUUUAUAUAUUUUUGUUAUAUUAUCGGUGUCAAUGAAAUGGAUAAUCAUGGUUAAUUUGAUUUGUUAUAAUUUGAAAGCAACACACAUUUAUAUCUUUAAUUUUAAUCAAAAUCAAAAUGUUAUAAAAAAUACUAUUGCUAAUUUUCAAAUGUUAACACAAUAAAAAGAGCAGAAAGACGGAGUGCCCGUCUUUUCACUAGUUAUAAUAAAAGAAAUUUUAUUUGAUGUAUUGAUAAUGAUACUGAAACUUUUUACACAUACAUCCAAACAUUAUUCAUGACAUCACUUUUAUACAAGUUCUAAAAUAUCGCUGUAACAAAAAGGUUAAAAAACAACUCAUGAAAUAUGUACAUGAUUUAAUUGAAUAUAUGUGUAAAAGAAAUUAUAUAUCAACAUCUAUAAAUUAAAUUUAUUAUUGAAAUGAAAUACUAGUAAAAAUGAUGGCCAGCAUUUAUGAAAAUAAAGGUCUAACUGAUCAUGGGCCAAUUUAAAUCAAAAGUAGAUUUGUGCCCUCUAAAGGGUACUAGAAUAUAAAAGAUGGACGGCAAACAAGGGACACAAAGAAUAGAGAUGCUCAAUUUAAAACACAACUUCGAUUUUUUUUUUAUUUACUAAAAAAUAACUUAGAUUGUUUAGAGAAGAUAGGAAUUCAAUUAGUCUGACAACAUAUUUUGGAAGUACAAUUAGUUUCACAAUUAACUAUUUUGAUAAUCCUCCUUAUUAAAAAAAAAUUAAUAUUCCAUUUCGUCAAAUAAAACAAAAAGUUAGGGAGUGAUGAGAGAUCUUAGUCAAUAUUGUUUUGCACCAUAAUAUUUUUGAGAGAUUGAUUUGGCAUUUACAUGCUUCCAACAAAUACAAUGUAACAAGUGCUUAUAAUUAUAUGAUAUCGUCUCUUAAUAUUGUGACAGCUGAUCACUUAAACACAAUUUGGAACAACGAGGUCCCUCUGAAAGUUAGUCAUUUUACAUGGAGUUUGCUCUGUAGCCGAUUACCAACAACAAAUAAUUUUAUCAGAAGGCACAUUCUUAAUCAUAAUGUUCAACUUUGUGUAGGCUUUUGUGGUAUAAUGUAAGAUAUAGACGAUCUAUUUCUCUCUUGUGAUUUUUUUGAAAUUUUUUAGAUUGGUAUCUAUAAUUGGCUCGGCUUUACUAUGGUACAUCCAGAACAUCCGAAUAACUUUUCAACUCAUAUGGUUAACUUGUGUUUGGGUGAUUUGAUGGGAAAGAAAUGCUUGAAGUUUUCGCAAUCAAGAAGAAUCGUUACAACAUCUUCUUGACAAAAUUAAGCUUCAAUCCUAUUAGUGGUUGAAAGCGAAUAGAAUUUUCGCUCAAUUUUAAUAAAGUGGAUACUAUAUGAGAUUUUCGCUCAAUUUUUUAUGAGUAUGGACUGCACUUGGCGUUAGUCAUUGAACUCAUUUUACGAGACUCAAGUUCCAACUUAAGCCAAAAACUGAAACCAAACAAAUGAAGUAAAAAACUCAAGUUCCAAACUAAUGCGUGAUUUUAGUCAAAACAAUGUUUAUUUUUUGACAGUAGUUAGUUUUGGAUUACAGCUAUAUCCCUACACCCCACAAACUAUACCCCUCUCACCAAUAGACAAAACAAAAGAGUAGGUGGAAGGGUACAUAAUUAAGAAAAAGUUAUGUGAAAAACAAUAUUUUCUAUAGCCAAAACCAAAAGAUAUAUAUUGCAUUAUUGCAUAUAUACCAAUAAAAGAAGUACUGUGAAAUACAAGAUAAUGGCAUUAGAUUAGAAAUGGCCAAUUUGAUCUGUCUAUUUUUAAUCAUAUUAUUUAGAUUUGUUCAAUCUUUUACCAAAUCUUAUUUAGUUAUGCAAAAAGCAACACCUCUCGUUGAAAGAUAAUAAUAACGAUUUUUGGCAUAUGUUACUAAUAUUGAUUGAAAAAUGUUACCAAAUGAUGCAACUUCCCAACUCCAAUCCACUCAUAAUUUCAAACUUCGCUACCAUAUGAAAACAAAAUCACAGGUAGAAAUGUGUUGGAAAUCCUCAACAACUAUUGACUUUUGGUACAAAAGAGUGCCAAGUCAUUACUAAUUCAAGAUUGAGACAUGCAGCUGUGAGUGGAUUCACUAAGAUCACGACUAGUAUAAAAGGAGCUGGUCACACUUGUAUUUUAUGCACCAAAUUAUAAGUCACUAACAUGGCUUCCUCAAACUUUCUAAUGAUGCUCCUCUUUGCUCUCUUUGUCAUCCCUAAGGGGUUUGCCAACUACGAGAAACCUCCAGAGUAUCAUCCACCAGUUGAAAAUCCCCCAUUUUAUAAACCACCGGUAGAGAAACCACCUGUGUAUAAACCACCAAUAGAGCAACCUCCAAUUUAUAAGCCACCUGUAGAAAAUCCUCCAAUUUAUAAACCACCAGUAGAGAAACCACCCGUGUAUAAACCACCGUUUGAGAAACCUCCAAUCUACCAUCCACCAGUAGAGAUACCACCAGUGUACAACCCACCAGUUGAACAUCCUCCAAUUUACAAGCCUCCUGUAUACAAACCACCAGUAGAGCAACCUCCCGUCUAUAAGCCACCAGUAGAGAAGCCUCCAAUUUACAAGCCACCAGUAGAGAAACCUCCUGUUUACCAACCUCCUGUUUACAAGCCCCCAGUUGAGAAACCUCCAGUGUACAAGCCACCUGUAGAAAAGCCACCAGUGUACAAGCCACCUGUAGAAAAGCCACCAGUGUACAAGCCACCUGUAGAAAAGCCUCCUAUAUACAAACCACCAGUAGAGAAACCACCAGUGUACAAACCACCCGUUGAGAAACCCCCGGUUUAUAAGCCACCAGUAGAGAAACCACCUGUGUACAAGCCACCAGUUGAGAAGCCCCCAAUUUACAAGCCACCAGUAGAGAAACCACCUGUAUACAAGCCACCAGUUGAGAAGCCUCCAGCUUACAAGCCACCAGUUGAGAAGCCACCUGUAGAGAAACCACCAGUGUACAAGCCACCGGUUGAGAAGCCCCCAAUUUACAAACCACCAGUUGAGAAGCCUCCAGUGUACAAGCCACCGGUUGAGAAACCACCUGUCUACAAGCCACCUGUAGAAAAUCCACCUGUUUACAAGCCACCAUUUGAGAAACCUCCAAUUUAUAAACCGCCAAUAGAGUAUCCACCCGUGUACAAGCCCCCUUUUGAGAAACCCCCCAUCUACAAGCCACCUGUAGAGAAACCUCCUUUUUACAAGCCUCCGUUUGAGAAUCCACCAUUUUAUAUACCUCCAGUUGAGGAGCCUCCUGUUUACAAGCCUCCAUUCGAGAAGCCACCAAUUUACACUCCUCCAUUCUAGAGCCCACCUUACCACCCAAAGUUCCCUCGGGCAGGCGAUGGUACUCGUUAAUAGAACAUGCUAUGAAGAAAAUAUGUUAAAUAAGAGAUAUAUAGAGUUUUUUAUUUAAUCAAGGAAUAUAUAUAUUCAUGUAAUCUUCAUUUCAAUACUUUGUUUACAAUACUCUUGCUAUGAUAAGAAUAUGAGUGAAAAACAGAGAAAGAAAAUAGUGUGCUUUUCUAUUCGAAAUUAUGAAUAAGAUUUCUAUGAUUUAGAUGUUGUGUUGGUUGACUAAAUCGUGAUACAUCGACAGAGGCAGAGCCCCUCAUGCGCCAAGGUGGGUCAUGGCCCACCCCCAAAUUUUGUUUCUUAUUAUAUAUAUAUUAUGUUUUGUAAAUUUUUGAUGUUUUUGUAGCAUGUUGUAGUGGUUAAGAGCCUUUUUGCCAAGUCGUAUGUGCUAGGUUCAACUCUUGCCAAAACCAUUUUUAUUUAUUCUUUUAUUUUCUUUUGUAUAAAAAAAAAACAUAAUUCAUAAUUGUUAAAAUAAUCCUUUUUUUUGUUACUUAAUCCUUUCUUUCUUUAAUAAAACAUAACUCCUUUAUUCGAUUUAAAAUAAUCUUUCCUUUCCUUACUCUUAUUUUUGGAUACAAUUGUCUCUUUACUCUUUUAUUUUAAUUUUUUUUUUAUACAAAGGGGACUUCAACUCUUUUUUGUCAAAAAACAUUCUCUUUUAAAACAUAUAACAUAUUUUUUAUACUUAGUCGUUUGAUUCAAUUCGAUUUUAUACCUAUACAUCUGUUUAUUGAAGUCGAGUCAUUUAAUUCAGUCGUUAGGUUCAAUGGCCUAGUUGUUCGAUCAAUUAUCUUGAACUUUAUCAAGGUUGAUAAACAGUUCAUAUUUUAAAAUACCGGUUUAAAUUAUAUUCAACAAAUAACAAAUUUAUAGUCAUUGGAACCAACCAAUAAUAAAAUGUACUUGUAAGAAAAUAAAGCCUCAUCACUAUUUAUGGCCCACCCUAUACUUUUUUCCUAGCUCCGCCACUUUACAUCUUCGUAUUCUUUAGGAAGUUUCAACCUUGUUGACUAUGACAACAGUGACGACUAUAACGAGACUCGCUAUUGACUAUGACAACAGUGACGACUAUAACGAGACUCCCUACUUUUUGGUUUGCUUCAACAGGUUCUCAACAUAAAUAACUAACCAAGUUAAUUUGCCUGUGAAAUGUGAUAUUAGUAAGGUGCAUGAAGGUUAAGUUCUUUAGCAAAGCUUAGUAUCUUGAAUUAAAGAAUAUCGUUAAUUAAACUAAAUAUUCAUAUUAGGUAUCACAAUUUUCAAGACUUUAUAUGUACGUGUUGAUCCAUUAAUUAAGAGAAAUUAGACUUUAGACCCGUGCGUCGCACGGGUCAUUUCGACUAAUAUAUAAUAAUAAGUAAUGGUAAAAAAAAUUCUAAAAUAAAUAAAAGAUGAAGAGUAUUAUACAUUUUACUUACUCAAGUUCAAAAAAUAAAGUAGGAGAUGACAUGAAAUCGUUUAGUUGAAACAAACGAAUAUUAAAAAAUAAAAAUUAGACAACGACAGGGAUCUAAAAUUCUAUUUCUAAUCCUUCACAUAUCAAAAUUACAAUUGGUUCUCUUCAUUGUAAUCAUCUAAACUUAAUUAAAAAAUUUACAAGUGCAAAUAGAAUCGACAUUAUACAAGUCACUACUUGAUUCCAAAAACCUAUGUUUCAUGAAAACCACUCAUACCUAAAUAACAAUAAUAAACCUUCAAAACAAAAAUCAACUAUUCUCAAAGGACCCAAAAGAAAGAUUUUUAGCCUUCUAAAUCACAAUUUCUCUUGUUGUAUUGUUUUUGUGUCAAAAGCACCAUAAGUUGAAUAGUAGGCUCAGACACAUGACUUUCCUCAUAAGACAAAAUCACCAGUUUUUUAUAGGUUGAAAAAAUAAAUCAAAUAUCCUUAACUUUCAAUAACGCUUAGAAACAACUGAAACUUUUGCAUUAUCUCAAUCCACAAACAAAAUUGAAGACCUUUAUAUUUGCUUUAGGCACCUUAAGGAAUUCUAUGUAAAUUGUUUUCCUGCAAUGAAAUGCUAAACACAAUGAGCAAAGAAGAAGAAUUAACAACAAUAUUUGGAUUGUUUUAUUUAGCUUACAAUUCUUUAAACUAAUCAANAACACAAUGAGCAAAGAAGAAGAAUUAACAACAAUAUUUGGAUUGUUUUAUUUAGCUUACAAUUCUUUAAACUAAUCAACAAAAAAUUAAAUUUGCAUUAUAUCCUCCACAAUAUCAAGAAUUUUUCAAAGGGAUCAUUCUAUUUGUAUGGCUAUGAUGAGAACUCAUGUGUGUCCAUGAAGACCAGCUCUACGGAUAACCAUGUUCAUAUUAACUAUUUUAGGAGUGAAAAUAGGAUUGGAUUGGAUUUAGUAGUGAGCUGUUGUUUUUGAUUUCAGAAGCAUUUGAAAAUAACAUUUUGAUUAAAUGGAAAUAAUAGGAAGAAUUUGUUAAUAAAAGUGAUUUUUUUUUUUUUUUUUAUGUUGAUCUUUUUAUUGUUGUGUUAGAAACAAAAUAGGACGAAAUUGUAUUUUUUUUUUUAUGUUUAUCUUUUUAUUGUUGUGUUGGAAACAAAAUAGGAGGAAAUUGUUAUAGGAAUAGGAGGAACGAUUUUUAAAGUUUAUCUCUUAAUUAAACAGGUUUAAUUGAACACGGGGGUAAUAACGUAAAAGUCAUCAUAAAAUCUAGGUUAAAAUUAGGUUAAAAAUUGGCUUACGGGUUAACUUUUAUAUAUAAAGAAGUCAAGAGAAUCUAGAUCUGUGAAGCCCCGAUACUUCAAAAUGGAUGAUGUAUCGUAUCCGCUGCGUAUUCUGUAUCGAUACCUGCCCGAUACUUCUCAAAUUUAUGAGUUUUAUUUGAUUCUUCGAAUUCGAAUUUUGAGAAUUUUAGGGUUUGAAGGUUGGUGAUGGAGGUGAAUCUGAGUUUAUAUUAAGAAUUGAUGAAGAAUUUAAGGAGAGUGCAGUGAUGGAUAGGUAACUGAGUAUGAAUUGGUAUGCAGUUUGGAAAAACAAAACAAGAGGCAGUAGCAGCACCCCCACCCUUCCUCUACUUCUUCGACAAUAUGAGUGUUAGAUUCAUUUUCCUAGGUGUGAUUUUGAGGCAGAUGAAUAUGUGUGAGAGAUUGUAGAGGAAGAUCUCAGAUAUAGCUUUUAGGGAUGAACAUGAAUGAAUGAAUUUGUAGAUGAAGAUGAAUGUUGUUUGAACAUUUAAUUAAGAAAUUUUUAAUUGUUUUUUGUUUUAAUAUUUGAAAUUAUUAAAUUGUAUUUUGAAAUUCAAAAAACCUGUUUUAAUGACAUGUAAAUGACAUUUUCCAAAUUGGCAAUGCCACAUAGGCAAAAUUUUACCACCUGUGCAUUUUUGGAUGUGAAAAUAGGGGGUAAGACUAAAACUGCAACAAAAAUGAUAAUUGAAAAACAAUUUUAAUCUGUUUUAAAAGGGCAGGACCAAUUUCCUGAGUAGGCCACAACACGAGGACCAAAAGUGUAAUUAAGCCUUAUAUUUAUGUUGAUGUGCUACAAGCUUAUGACUGGUUUCUUUUGUUUGAUAAUAUAUUUGCAUAUUAAAUAAAAUGGUUAUAAUUAUAUUCUACAUUUAAUUAUAUAAUUUUUUUAUUGACGUAUCCCAACCAUAUCGUAUCUUGAUUUUUGAAAUUUUUUCGUAUUGACGUAUCGGUGCAGUAUCGUAUCUCGUAUUCGGGCUUCAUAGAUCUAGACUAUUAAUUUUUUUGAUAAACAAGAUUAUUAUUAUUUUUUGACAAAAACAAAGUGAGAUUCAUUCAUUCAAAUUGAUAGAGUACAUCAGAUACAAACAUUGCUAAAAACGUAAAGGAUAAAUCUAUGAACAAACUCACAACACUAAAGUUCAUACAACAGCAAAAUGUCUACAAAUAAUAUGAUAAAAUCUAAGUCACCAAAAUAUUCAUGCUUCCGGGUAUGCAACGUUGGCGCCCAAAUCAUUGAUUGAAUUUGUAAUUGACUAAUGUCGAUCUUUCAACAUGAACUAAACGAACACCGCGUCAAGACGCGAAAUCAAACAUCACAUAAGACCACUAACAACACAAUGCCACAAUUAGAUGACGAAAUCACAAAAACUCAAAAGGGAAAACUUGAUAUAUGUGAAAACCAUUUGUUUAGAUCGAAAGAAAAGAGAAAAAACGAUGUAGAGGGGUGAUUUUAGGUCAAAAAUGACCUAAAACCAGUUCUUUUUAAUAAACGAAGGAGAAAGAAUGUUUAGAGAGAAGUUGGAGUUUUUUUUUACUUAAAAAAUUAGGAUAAGCAAAAUUAUUAUAGAGGGAUAAAGGGCUCCCCAACCCAUAUACAAAAUGAUGGUUGCAAUGCCAUGUAGAAAAUAAAAAGAUAACAUUGCCUUUCUUUUUACAAUUAAACUAGUUACAAACCCGUGCGUUGCACGGGUUUAAUAACGUAUUUUAUAAAAAAAAAAUCUUUUAAAAGAAAAAUGAGCAAAUUAAUGAAUAUUGCACAAACAUUAUAAAUCUUUAUCAAAAUAUUUAUGAAAGCUUUAUCAAGUCUUUAAUACACAUUAAUAUUUGUGAUGAUUGAUAAAAGAAUUAAAAAGAGUAAAGGGUAUAGAAAUAAAUUUAUUAAAGAAUUAACAAUUUGUUUAAACUUAUUUUUGUUACAAUUUAGACCAAAAAAAAUAUUGGACUUCAUUGAGUUUCUCUAUAAUUUUUUUAUCAGGCUUGAAGUUAUGACUCUGAGUUUGAAAACCGCAAAAUUCACAAAAAUUAUUGAAGAAACACUAUAAACAAAUAAACGGCAUCGUCAAAAAUGAAAUCAUAUUUGGCUAUAGUGAUCAAGCAAACAAAAAAAAAGAAGCAUAUUAAAUACCUAUAAUCAAUGGAUUCUAAUUGCAUAGAGGCGACACUUAUACUUUCUCUAUGUUUGUUCAUCAAUGAGAGUGAUUAUUUUGCGCUUUCCUUUCAGAAUUGUUCUUGACACCUAGUUUGGGAAAUGCUAAACAGGGAAAUAACUGUAAUAUUAAUCUAAUGCAUAUUAACAUGGAUAAGAUGUAUGCGAAUAUAGUUAUAUAUAACUUAUGAAAUGAAGGUAACAUAACUGAUUUUAAGCUAAAGAAAAUGUACCAUGACUUCUAAUUUAUCUUUCUAUUAUCUUCCUAUAAAGUCUAGAGAAAUGCAUGCAUGUGCAUUAUAUGUACCCCGUUGACCAAUUAACAUUUUUGAAACAAAUGAAAAUUAAGCAUCACUCCCGCAUGUGCAUCUAUAGCUAACACCAUUUGACAUUGAUGUCUUCGAACAUUUGGUGCAACUCUCAUAAUACCAUCCAAACUGGUUAGGAUUGAAUUUAGUUGUUUUUCCAAAUAGUGAUGGAGUAUGUAUCCUAACACAAAUUAUGCACGUGAAAUAAAGAAUAGUGCAAUAUGCAUUUUUAAUUUGUGCGUAAAAAAAUUCAAAGCAUGUUUGUGAAAAAAAAAAAAAAAAACAGACCUUGACUAAGUUUAUAGAUUCAUCAAUUGGCCUAACUUGAGACAGAUUGGAAAAAUCGUUCUACGAAGUACUUUUUAAACUUUACUUUUUAAUCUAUCUGAGCUUGAGAAGUGUUAAGUUCACGACAACAAUUCAAGAAACAUGGUCAAUAAACAAUCAAAUCAGAUUGUGAAAUAAUAAGUUACUCUAACACUGUAUUGUGAAAUCAUAAUGCAAACUUACUAAGUCUUAAACUUUUCAACAACCGGAUGAUGUAGGUUGAUGAGCAGCCUCGAACCUGACCAAUUGUUACAUCUAUUUGCGUUGUCAUUGACUACAAAAUAGAAGCAAAGAAUUCAAGGUAAAUAAAUGGUAAAUGAUAAAGCUACAAAGUAUUUUACCCAUAAUGUUACAUCAACUAUAUUCCCAAUGCUCUAAAUCUCUAUAUCGAGUUAUUACAUGAACUCGAUCACCCUAAAUCCGAGAAAGAAACCAAAAAAUAUAAAUAAAUCAAAAUGUAUACUAAUAAGUAACAUUGAUAAAUCAUAAAAGAAAUUACUACAAAUCUUAACUAACUUAUCUAACCUUUGCAUCACAAAUAAUGAGCUUCAUAUGUUGAUUCUCAUUACUACCAGUCACAAUUCAAGAAUCCAGUACUCCAAAUCCUAUUUUCCAAACGUCUAAAUCAUUUUUGAGAUACUUAAUGUAGUCAUAAUCCCUUGACAUUGAAAUUCAUAUAUAGAAAUACAAUAAUACAUCAUUUAAUUUUAUUCCCUUUGUUCAUUCUGAUAUCGAAAGAAGCUAACAUAUUUCUAUGUGAUCAAUUUUUGUAUCAUCAAAUUAACCUGAUCUUAAAUGUACAAAUUUCUAUCAUCAACUUUCUGGACCCCAAUGAUAUGAUCAAAACAAAUUUACACCAAUCAACUUUUUGCACGGCUCAAUGAUAUACGAAAGAAUAAAUAAAAUAUGAAAACUGUUACAGCUUUAGGAUUACUCACAAAAACUAAAAUAAUUGAAAUGCAUCAAUUAUUUUCAACUCCUGUACCAGAAGCUAAAAUAACAAUUGUGUCAAAACCUUACCAUCAGUUAAAAUUCAGUCAUCAUGACCUCUACUAUACUCCACAUAACAAAAGACGAUUUUUCUACAGCCAUGCAACAUAACAAAUUUUGGUACAUAAUCCAAUAACAAUUGGAAAAAAAAAAAAAAAACCCUUAAAAUGCAUAAUCAUGAAAAAAGGAAGAAAACCAUCUAUGAUGAAGCAAAAACUAAAACGGUGUCGAAAAAUGAAGCCCUUAAGCCAUAAAAAUCAGUCAACUCAAGUCAUGCAUGGUCUCAGAACCAUGAAAAAAGAUAGAAAAUGACCUUUUUUUUUUUUGUGGUGGCCGGGGUUUGAACUCCGGACCUUGCAUAUUUUAUGCAUUGUCCUACCAACUAAGCUAAGCUCACGAGGACGAAGAAAAUGACCUCUUAUGAAGAAGAAAGUGAAACAGUGUUCCCGACUGAACUUAGAUACCGUUUGGUCAAGGUUUUUUACAUUAUAAAAGUUACUUCAAAACAAAGUAAAAAUAAAGGCCUUUAUGAAAGAAACUAAAGUUAUUUGGUUUUUUUGUUUUGUUAGUUUUAAAGCUAUUUAAGUUUAAUGUUGUUUGGCAAAAUAUUGUACAAACUUUGAAUUUAUUAUUUUUUAUAUGGUGUCUGGGGUUCGAACUCCGGACUUGGCAUGUAUUUAUGCAUUGUUCCUAUCAACUGAGCUAAACUCAUGAGGACAAAACUUUGAAUUUAUUAUUAAUUAACAUAAUAAAUAAAUAAAAUGUUUAGAAUAAUUUAUGAAGGCUAAAAAUGUUAAAAAAAUAAAAGAUAUUUUUUUUACAAAUACGAUAUUUACUCAAUAACGUUUAUUUUGUGUAACAUGAAUACAAAUUAAUAUCAUCAUAUAAAUAACUUGUUAAAUAUUUGAAUAGGAGAAACAAUUUAAGGAGUCUGGAAUAAUAAUAUAAAUAAUAUCAAAAUAUUUGAUUUUUUCUAUUUCAAUUAUACUCUAUAACAAAUUUCGUUAUAAGAAUACCAUAUUUUUUGUGUCUUUCAAAAAGAUAAGAAUUUAUAUUAUAUGAUAUUAUAUUUGUUACAUUGUUGGUGUCAUGGAAACAGAUAUGUUUAAUUUUUUUGAACAUGAAAAUGAUAUGCAUAGUUUGUUACGAUAUAAAGGUGCAAUAUAUAUAUAUAUAUACACCUUUUUAGGCAUCUAUACCUUUUUUUGAAGAAAAGACAUCUACAAUUUUACUUUUAAUUAAAAUUUAAAUUUUAUAAAAAUAAUCAUACGCAUUAUGCAACGCUAAAAAAAAUUAUACACAUUAGCGUAACAAAAAAACAGACACACAUAAAGAAUUACUCUAAACGCUAAUGUGUAUGUGCGUAUAUAUUUGCGAGGUUGAAGAAAGAAAAUACAAAUAUUUGAUAUCAUUAAAUGACAGCGUGAAUAAAAAUAUUUGUGAAGUUGUGAUGAUUAAACGAUAUUGAAAUUAUAAGUGAUAAAAAGAUAAUAAAAUUCCUUUGAAAAAAAGGUAAUAAAAUUAAAUGGAACCUCCUUAAAAAAAAUUAAAUUGAACGCUUCAAAUUAAAUGGAAGAAAAAAAUAUAUUGAAGUAUAAUAUUAAAAAAUAAAAAAAAAGGUUCCCAACGUGAAUUGAAGAGAGAUGCUUGUGAAAUAAAUUGUCGAGAAGUAGUUUUUUGAAGAAGCAUUCAACAACUUUUGGUCAAAGUUCAUUGCAUUCAAUUUUAUGCAUUAAAAAAGGUACAUUUUUUAGAAAGUACUUAAUUGAUAUUGUAUUUGACCUAACUUCUCCUUAAAAAUAUAGGGAAGUUGAAAAAAAAAACCGGGUCAAACGGUAUCUUAAUUUCCCACAACGGCAGUGUAGAAACAACUGAAUUUGGGAGAAAAAAAUUGGAAAAUAGUUAAAAAUAAAAAAAAUUGAAAAAUAGUUAAAAAAAAUCGGUGAGGUAGCACCUAACCAAACAACACUAAAAAAAAUUAUAUGCAUCAGCGUAACAAAAAAACAGACAGACGGACAUAAAAUAUUACUCUAAACGUUAAUGUGUGUGUAUAUAUUCGCGAGGUUGAAGAAAGGAAAUAAAAAUAUUUGGUAUCAUUAAAUGACAGCGUGAAUAAAAAUAUUUGUGAGGUUGUGAUGAUUAAACAAUAUUGAAAUUAAAAUAAUUAAUAUUGUGUUUGACCCAACUUCUCCUUAAAAAUUUAGAGAAGUUGGAAAAAAGUCGGGUCAAGCGAUACCUUAAUCUCCCACAACGGUAAUGUAGAAGCCACUGAAUUUGGGAGAAAAAAUUGGAAAAUAGUUAAAACUAAAAAAUAAAAAAAUCGGUGAGGUAGCACCCAACCAAGCAACACCAAAAAAAAAUUAUAUGCAUUAUCGUAACAAAAAAAUAGACAAACAGACAUAUAAUAUUACUCGAAACAUUAAUGUGUGUGUAUAUUCGCGAGGUUGAAGAAAGGAAAUAAAAAUAUUUGAUAUCAUUAAAUGACAACGUGAAUAAAUAUAUCUGUGAGGUUGUGAUGAUUAAAUAAUAUUUAAAUUAAAAUAAUUGAUAUUGUGUUUGACCUAACUUCUCCUUAAAAAUGUAGAGAAUUUGGAAAAAAGCCGGGUCAAACGAUACCUUAGUCUCCCACAACGGCAAUGUAGAAGCAACUGAAUUUGGGAGAAAAAAUUGAAAAAUAGUUAAAAACAUAAAAAUUGGAAAAUAGUUAAAAGUUAUUAAAAAUUAGAAAAUAAUUUAAAAAAUUGGUGAGGGGCAAAAUGGGAAAUUUGGCAUAAAAAAGAUGAGGUGGCACCAAACCAAACCCACCAAUUAGAAAAUUACUUAAAUGCCCAUUCCAGGGACAAAAUGGGAAUUUCAUAUGGCAUCAAUUUUAAUAGAGUAUAUAGACCACUCACAUUACACAAAUGUUGAAAUAUAUGAUGCAUAUUACUUUUUAAAUUUUUGGUUUAUAGUUGCAUUUUUUUUAGGGUUAAUAGUGUUUUUCACCCUUGUAAUAUAUGUCAUUUUCGGUUUUCGACCCUAUAAAAUUUUUAGUUUUAUUUUAACCCUCGUAAAAUUUUUAUUUUCCGGAAAAGACCCUUAAUAGGCCAUUCAAAAACCAAAAUUUCUUGAAAAAAAUUCUGAAAAUGGCCUAUUAGGGGUCUUUUCCGGAAAAUAAAAAUUAUACGAGGGACCACCUGUUGAGAAACCACCUGUACACAAGCCACCAGUUGAGAAGCUACCUGUUUACAAGCCACCUGUAGAGAAACCUCCGGUGUACAAGCCACCUGUUGAGAAGCCCCCAGUUUACAAACCUCCAGUAGAGAAGCCUCUAGUGCACAAGCCACCAGUUGAUAAACCACCUGUACACAAGCCACCAGUUGAGAAGCUACCUGUUUACAAGCCACCUGUAGAGAAACCUCCGGUGUACAAGCCACCAGUUGAGAAGCCCCCAGUUCACAAACCUCCAGUAGAGAAGCCUCCAGUUCACAAACCUCAAGUGGAGAAGCCACCUGUAUACAAGCCACCAGUUGAGAAGUUUCCAAUUUACAAACCUCUAGUAGAGAAGCCUCCAGUGCACAAGCCACGAGUUGAGAAACCACCUGUACACAAGCCACCAGUUGAGAAGCUACCUUUUUACAAGCCACCUGCAAAGAAACCUCCGGUGUACAAGCCACCAGUUGAGAAGUCCCCAGUUUACAAACCUCCGUUAGAGAAGCCUCCAGUGCACAAGCCACCGGUUGAGAAACCACCUGUAUACAAGCCACCAAUUGAGAAGCCCCCAGUUCACAAGC
rnacentral:lncRNA from 1 species